rnacentral:lncRNA from 1 species
CCAGUUGAGGUUUAUUUCAAAAAAAAAUUUAAAAAUACAAAAAAAAACUCAAAAAAUGUACGAAUUUUUUUCCAAGCCAUGUUUUCCUCCAAUACCAUCAUUGCACUGCCUCCCAUGACCCAUAUUCUAACUAUUUGAUCAAAGAGGCCUUUUCGUAUGUCAUAUUUCCCCCAAUUUCAUUCAAAUGACACAUCCAUAUUUCCAUACUAAAUUACUUAAAUAACAAAAUAAAAGGAUAGUAAUUUUUCUGCGCAAACAUAAAAUUAUUGUGAGGGGAAUUGGCCCAUGAUAUAGCACCUAAAAACAUCACCCAGUUUCUGUUUCAAAUGUUGUCUAAAAUAAUAAUAAGAAGAACAUGAAGGUAAAAGUAGACAUGGACAUCCUCAUUGCCAUUGCUUGAAGUAGAUUUUUCGGUAUAUUAUUUAGAUGCUAAAUCUUCACAAUGUAGAUUGACAAUGGAAGUCUUCUCCAACAGCCAAAUAUCUUUGAUGCUGAACAAAAGGUAAAGAAAAAAUUGAAAUCACAUAUCACCAUUUUAACAGAAACAAAACAAAGCAGAAAAAUAAACAUGAACUCUAUUUGUGAAGCUUAUGGUGAAAGUCUUAGUGAAAGCUCCAUGUAGAAGGAUUGAUUCUGGUGAAUGAAUCCAUUAUUUUCUCUUUGUUGUCCUGCACAAUUAAACUUGUUGGUACUAACAGAGAAUUUCUCAGCAAAAGAUCAGGAAUCAUCUCUUUAAAAUUAGAAACAAACAGGGUUAUAGGGACCAAAGAGAGAAAAAAGCAAUAUUAAGCUUUGAAUUCAUGCUAUUUUAUUGGGAGUCCAUAACUAAACAAUAUAGAGACUUUAUGAAGGUAGGAUGUACAAUGAAGACAUUGCGUGGGCAUAUAUUAGGGACACCACUCUAACACAUACAUGAACAGCUAAACAACAAAACAACUAAAACAAUAUAAACUCAUUCUUCAAAUUAAAAACACAUGUAUUGAACUCAUUUUUCAAGACAAUAUCUCCCGCAGAUAUAGGGCAUUAGAAAAGAAGGCAUGACCCAGAAAACUCCUCAAGAUAAGACCCAAAUUGAAAGCUAUAUCAGUUAACUAUGGUUGAAAUUGAUUUUGAAUGGCAACACAUUUAAAAAAAACAAUGCCAUCUAAACUAAGUUUUCACUUAUCCAAAUAGAACUGCUCCCGCAGUCUCUGCAUUCAAAGCCACAGAAAAAAUCAAGAUUAGUGUAAUCAAUUGAACAACUUACUUCUUGCACAUGAUCAAUCCAAAGGAAAUAUUGCAAUACAUAUUCAGAUUUCAAUAACAAAAUCUGAAUGCAGCAGAGAAGAAAAUUAACAGCUAACUUCUUGUAGAUGAUCAAUCUAAAGGAAAUCCUACAAUGCAGAUUAGAAAUUUCAAUAACAAUAAACUGCACCUAGAUCUUUCUUCAAUCACAAAGAGGGGAUAAUAAAAGAAUUAUUCCAAAUGAUCCUUGGUAGAAUAGAAGUAAAAAAGAAAAAAAAAGACAUUAGCCUGGAACCUCACUUAAUUUUCAAGAUAAACUGUUCCAGAGAACCAAAUGAAGCCAAAAACAUGGUAAAUUAAGGUCAAUAGUCCUCACUUAGUUUCUAAUAUACGUGGAUUCCACUAACUCUGAGAUUGAAUGUGAGAGCAAAAUGCACCAGGUGAUGACACCUCAGCAUUGGGUUCUCAUAACCCUUGCUCUUUUAAUAUAUGUAUUGAUUGAUUAAUAAGAUGAAAUUCUUGAAAUUUACCCGUGACUGUAUCCCUUCAAUGCCUGCUCUUGAAAUUCUUGAAAAAUGAUCCUUUCCUUCCAACCACUCAAUGGAUAAUAACUUGUUUGUAGUACCUUCAUGGGUUUUCACAACAGGAAUGGUAGACACUACAUGACUUCUACCAACCAUUCUGCAUUUCCUUUAAUACCAAUGCAUCCUGCAAAAUUUCAAAAGAAACUUCAUUCAGGUUAGUACUUUGUUAUGUUAUAUUUCACUCCCCAUAACAGAUAUAACACAAACCACACUGAAAAUUUGCUUCCUCUUUCUUCUCUUCUCAGUUAUUAGGUUCCUCUUGUUUCUUCUCAUUAGCUUUCUAAAAAAAGUCACAUAAUAAUGAAAAGAUCUUCUCCUUACUUAUUAUAGGAAUGUCAAUCUUGAUAGUACUGUGAGAUCCAACUUGCUAUGAUUUGGACCUUUUUUUCCUUGCAUCUUUGAGUCACUUUGGAUCUUCCUUAGUUGAGUACCUUAGAUUUGUAUGAUGAAUCUCUGUAGUACACAGAACACCCAAAUAAUUAUAAAUAGAGAGAAACAGGACAAAGAGAAAACAAAUUAUAUUUUAAUAAUUUGUCCACUAACCUUCUUUUGCAACUAUAGCGACUAAAGUUUUUGACAUAUUCUUCAACAUCCUGUAGGAAAUAUUCAAUGAAAUGAUAUUAGUGAUAAUAAUUCGGGUGGGGGCAAUGAGGGGAUAAAAGAAAAAUUAGAGAUGUUAAUAUGCUAUAACCUCCACCUCUCCAAGGGUCUCUUAAACCAUUGUAGAAGAUAAUGUUGCUUGCAGACCUUUUCAUAAUAUGUUGAUGAAUCAGGGGUUAAACCAUCUAUAACUUGAAACCACCUAUGUAUCUAAAAUGCCACCAAAAGAUUCCAACCAAAAAAAAAUUAUGUCAUGGAGGUAGGAAAUUAAUCUGUUGCCGGACUCAUAUCCAUAUAAACCUGAGACAUUUAGCGGACCAUCAUAAAUAAAAGGUAGGAAAUAUGACACAGGUCUAAUCUGUUUAAUCCAUUCCUUUAGAUCAGAGACAAAGUAAGAGAAGCUAAGUGGAAAUAUUCAAAAUUAAAAUUAGUGAUAAAACCUACCAAAAUUUCAAACUAAUAUAUCAAUAAAAGUACCCAGAUUUAAAAGACCACCAAUUGUUAAUGGUUCUCAUUAUAAAAUUAGCAACAAUCAUUAACUUAUAAUUUACACACUCACAAACCUGCAAAUGGUUAACCCAUCUAUGAUAGCCACCUUCUGAUGAACAACUUUGCGCUUGAUCUGAUUCAUAUAAGAAAUCCAUUAAAAAUCAGUAAGGAUUUAAGGAGGGAAGAAGAAUAUGGGAAUGGAGAGUGGAAGAUGGUUAAAGAACUUACCUUGUAGUCGCAGAUGGAAAGAAAUGGUGGUGAAACUGUUUCAGAUGUAACAAAAAAAAUCAGUAAUCGAAAUGGGGAGUUGUGAAGGGGAAGGAGAGCAGAUGAACAAAAGGAGAAAGCAUAACCUCUCUUUACAACCUAUUCAGAUCAGAAUGAAAACAAAAAAUCAGAACCCAAAAUAAAAGAUGGUAACUUGGAAAGAUAAGGAUGAAGAAAGAGCAUAGUCAGGGGGAUGCUACUGCCGUAAUGGCAGUCCCAUAACUCUUGCUCUCGCUUUAAUCUGGAGCUUUCGGUCAGAAACUAAUCAAGAAUCAAGAGCACUACACAUUGGAACUAAAACCGUUCGUGAAGAAUGAGAAAUUUCACAAAUAAGAAUCAUAUCUUUAGAAUCGCGAAUCAUGAAUCAGACUGAUUUUUAGAAAUAAUAUUAAGUGUAAUUGAAACAAAACAGUUUCAUGAAUCACAUACAUGACCACUCGAACAAAAAAAUCAAAACAUGAAAUUUAUAAUCCAGGGAUUUAGCACAGCAAAAUGUUAACAGUUAUAGAAACAAAUGGAAAAUCUAUCUAUUCUCCAAUAACAGAAGAAGAAAUCAAAAAAUUACCUGACAUUUAGGCAUAUGAGAGGAAGAGAGAGAAAGAGGAACUCUCUGGUGCUUUCUAGAGAGUUUAUUAGCAGCGUGAACCUUCUUAUCACAUUUCCAACAUAGCGCCGCCUCAUCAGCACAACACAGAACCUUCGCCUCCACACCUGAAUCUUGAUCCUCCAUAAAAUUGAUCCUCUUAGCUAUGGAAAAUGAUCAAAUUCACAGAGAGAAGAAGAAGAUGAUGGAGAGAUAGAAUUUAGAGGAAACGCGCAUUGAACACACCAGAGACCAAAACAGAGGAAGGAGGGUGUCGUGGUGUGCAAACGAAGGUUCUAGUUACCAGUAAGACGUCUAUGGUACCAUCAUCUCUGUGUCCCAAUCAAGGGGAGAGCAAGGCAGCUGCUACAGAAAUGAAAUUGACGCCAGUCGAAGCCCUCACAGAAACCUUGACACCCUACCGACCCCAAACUAACGGGCUCUGGGUAGAGGGAUAGGAAAGUUGGAACCUUUGAGACAGGGAAGAGAAGGUUCUGGAGCAAGGAAAAUGGAGAGAGGAUGCAGGCUUUGAAUAGGAUGGAAUUGAAAGAGUAACGGAAGCCACUCGAUUGGCCAAUGAAACGGUAGCCAUCUCUGGAAUGGGAACGUCUGUGGGUGGUGAUUCUCAAUAUUUUGAAAAGAGAAAAGAAAUGGAAAUUAAGGUUAAUUGCACAUAGAAAAUAGAUAUAAUUUAUUCCUUAAUAUAAAAAUAGGGAAUGGAGAAGGGACGGUUAAGCCAAUCAAAUCAAUGGAGGCUUAAGAAUUUGAAAUUUUUCAGAUAAUAAGGAAGUAUGGUUCAGAUUUAUAAAUGUGAAAUAAUAAUAUGAGAAAGGGGAGUAAAAAGAGAGAGAGAGAAAAGUAAUGGUAAUUAAGAAAAACAAUAACAAAGAACACACAUUUCUUAACGAUCUAUCCUACACUGCUGAUGAUUAGAAAAUAAGAGUACGAAUUUCACAAAUAUGGUAAUUUACUACUUUAUAUUCUACAUUGUCUUUUCUAAACAAUUUUUUCAUUCAAUUGAAUCAUACAUAUAUCAUCAUUUCUAUAUCUAUAUGACACAAAGUAGUAACAAAGUGUGAACCGCAUACAUUUCUAUACUGCAAUAAACAAAUAAGUGUAUUGCUCAUUAAGUCCUUCACUUAUGAUGUGAUGAGAAAUAAGAAUCUUACACUUCUCAAUAUUGUCAUAUUUUGUCAUUAUGGACAACAAAAAAUCAACCCAACUCAAUCCUUCAAAGAGAACAAAAGUCCAGCUAGAUAGAAAUCUACUUUUUAUAUUUGUGAAACUGACUUUAAAAGAACUUCUUCAAUGCCAUCAACAUUUGUAAACAACUACAUCAACUAGAUAGAAAUCUACUUUUUAUAUUUGUGAAACUGACUUUAAAAGAACUUCUUCAAUGUCAUCAACAUUUGUAAACAACUACAUCAACCUGGAUAAAAAAAAAUCAACACAAUUGAUAACAUGAUUGCAAUGACUUAAUCGGUAUAAGGAAAAAAAUACUAAACUUAGUUACUUCAUUUCAAUUCUAAACCAAAAAAGUAAUUAAAUUUAUGUUAUAUCAAAUUAAAACUACUCUCAUUUCAAUUUCAUUGAAAAUCGACCAGUUUGGUCCCUUUUUUCCGUUAGUUAUUAUGCCUUUUUCCCUCUUCAGUUACAAAUCACUCAUAUAACACUCUUACUCAUUGUGCACCAACAAUAAUUGCCCACAAAAAUUUGUUUCGAAAUGACAAUAAAAAAACCAAGGUCAGUCAUUAAACUAUGCCUGUAUUUUGUCACAGUCAAUUAUAUGUUUUAGGGUUAAGCAUCAUAUUAGUCCCUGUCUUUGUGUCACCGUCUGACUUAGGUCCCUCGCCGGAAAAAUUAUUGUAAAUGGUCCUCAUCUUUAAAAAGUUUUUGGAGCGGAUCCUCGCCGGAGGUCGGAGCUUCGGCGAGUGCUUAAAUGGCAUGCUGACUGUGUUUAAUGAGGUGACGUGGAUUAUAAAAAAUUAAAAAAUUAAAAAAUUAACAAGUCAGAUUUUUAAAUUUAAUUAACAUAUUCCUAAUUGUGUUAUAAACCUAAUUAAAUCAACUAAAUUAAUUUCCCCAAAGUUAUCUCAAUUCACCCCAACUAACCCAAAUCCCCAAUUCAGACAAAACAAAUUAGGGUUCAUAACUUCUUCCCCUCUUAUUCUUCUUCCUCCUCUGGUUCAUCAUGUUCUGUUACUAGAAAGGGGAGAAGAAAGAAAGAAAAACGACAAGGAGAAGAGGCUUGAGUUCGGUUCUGAAUAUCUGGGUUUGGAUCCGAAAUUUUGGGUUUGGAUCUAGGUUUAUCAUAGGAGAAGGAGAAGAAGGUGAGAGAGAGGAACAGAGAACGAGAUUAAAGAUUGAAGAAGAUGAAGCAGAAAUUUGGGAUGAAUAGAAGUUACUGAUGGUAGUGGGUGUGGAUCUAGGGCUCGCGAACGAGAAUCUUGGCCACCACCACCACUCACGGCUUGGCCACCGCCACUAAUUCUGAGGGCUGUCUAUGAUUACCCAUUUGAACCUUUAUUAGGAUAUAUGUAGUCACAUGCUGACAUGGCAUUGCUGACAUGUCAAUCUGUAACAGAAUUAGUUAUUAGGUGUAACAGAAUCAGUUACACAGUAACUGAUUCUCUCUCUCUCUCUCUCUCUCUCUCUCUCUCUCUUAGUAACAGCUUGCUACGCAAGCUUCUCUGAUUCUAUAAAUAGCUAAAUGCUAUUCAUUGUAACUCAACUUUUCAGAAAUACAAUUCAGUUUACAAUUCAGUUAGAAUUUCAACAUGGUAUCAAGAGCAGGGAACGAUCCUUGAUUUUUUUUUUUUUUCUCUGGUUUCUCUUCUUCUUCACCAUGGCUGGUGAAGCUCCAGAAGCUCCUGUGCCAGUGGCUCAACCAUCGUUGAGUGCUUCUUCUCUGGUUCACAAGCUCACCUUGAAGCUUGAUGAUACGAACUUCCUCUCAUGGAAGCAACACGUAGAAGGAAUUGUGAGAACUCAUCGCUUGCAGAGUUUUCUCACAGCACCGCAGAUUCCUCUUCGUUUUCUCACUGAUGAGGAUCGUGAGAAUGUGGUUGAAAAUCCUGCGUAUCAAGCCUGGGAACAACAGGAUUCAGCGUUGUUCACUUGGCUUCUAUCGUCUCUUUCACCUACUGUUCUUCCUACUGUUGUGAAUUGUACUCAGUCAUGGCAGGUUUGGGAAGCAGUGCUUGAUUUCUUCCACGCACACUCGCUUGCUCAGUCCACACAACUCAGAUCUGAGUUGCGAUCCAUCACCAAAGGAUCGAAGAGUUCUUCCGAUUAUCUGAAGCGUAUCAAAUCCAUUGUGAACGCUUUGAUCUCGAUUGGAGAUCCGGUUACGUAUCGUGAGCAUCUUGAAGCGAUUUUCGAUGGCCUUCCUGAGGAGUAUAGUCAUCUCAUGACUAUUGUGAGUAGUCGCGAGUUUCCGUGCUCGAUCUCGCAAGCUGAAGCUAUGGUCAUCGCACACGAAGCACGUUUGGAGCGUAUGCGUUCGCGUCAGACUCCUGUGACUUCUCCGUCUGCUUUCCUUGCUCAGGCAGUUGCGCCUCCGUCAGCGCCACCGCAAGCGCCACCGUCUGCGCCACUUCCUGCGCCAUCACCAGCGCCGCCUCCUCCGCCUUCAUCAGUCGCAUCUGAGGUUCAUUACGCCUCUCGCACUGAUUCAGAGGAUCGUGCAUAUGAAGAUCGCGAUGAUGAUCGUUCUCGCUCCGGUGACAAUCGCGAUCGCGGAGGCUACAACAACCGUGGACGCGGUGGACGUGGUGGUUACAACAACCGUGGACGCGGUGGUGAUCGAUCUUCAGUUCAGUGUCAGAUCUGCCAUAAGUAUGGUCAUGAUGCUAGCAUCUGCUAUCAUCGAGGCAACUCUGCUUCCCCUGCACAGAAUGCUCAGCCAAACGUGUCUUCCAACACACCUAUGCCUUCUCCUUAUGGUUUUGGCUCAUCUUAUGGCAUGAUGCCUCAGUUUGGAUACUCACCUUUUCGUGGAUUUCAACCUUUUGGUGCACCUGCACAGUUUGGCAUGCCUUUUGCUGGUGGAUCUGGUUUUCCCCUUGCAUCUGGUGCAAUGUUUGCCCCUGGCUAUGGAUAUGCUUCUCCAGCAUCAUCCACCUUUGGUUUUGGCUUCCAUCCUCGAGCUCCACCACCACAGCCUCGUGCACCACAAGCUAUGCUAACUUCUGCACCUUCCACUCUAGGAAAUUGGUUUCCAGAUUCAGGUGCAACUCAUCAUGUUACUCAUGAUGCUUCUGCAGUUUCCGAUUGUGUGUCAGUGACUGGGAAUGAUCAAGUGUACAUGGGAAAUGGUCAAGGUUUGCCUAUCACAUCCAUUGGUUCAGCUUCCUUUUCUUCUCCCUUUCACACACACACUACUCUUCAACUUAAAAACCUAUUGUUAGUUCCUAAUAUUACUAAAAACCUGGUUAGUGUUAGCAAAUUUGCAAAGGAUAAUGGUGUUUUCUUUGAGUUUCACCCUUUUCAUUGCACUGUUAAAUCUCAGGAUACUUUUAGGACUCUUCUCCGAGGCUCUCUUGGUCCAGAUGGCUUAUAUUCCUUUGAUGGCAUGCACUCUUCAACAUUCAACAAGGGUUCUCCUCUAGUUUCUGCCCCAUCUGCCUUCUCAGUGUCCAAGCCUGCAUCUUCUGCAGUUACUUCUUCUGUUUCAGUUUCAAAUAAUGUACCUAGUCCCACAGCUUAUGACUUGUGGCAUUCUAGAUUAGGGCAUCCUCAUCAUGAGGCUCUGCAAUUAGCACUAUCCACUUGUAAGAUACCAGUUCCUCAUAAAUCAAAAUAUAACAUUUGUCAAUCUUGUUGUGUUGCAAAGUCUCAUAGAUUGCCUUCAUCUUCCUCUACUACUAUAUAUACUGCACCUUUAGAAUUAAUUUUUGCUGAUUUAUGGGGUCCUGCCUCCAUUGAGUCUUCUACUGGCUAUCUUUACUUUCUCACUUGUGUUGAUGCUUAUUCAAGGUUUACAUGGAUUUAUCCAAUUAAGAGGAAGUCUGAUACCAGUUCUGUUUUUCUUCAAUUUCAAGCUAUGGCUGAAUUGAAGUUUAGUUUAAAAAUCAAAUCUGUUCAAACAGAUGGUGGCACUGAAUUCAAACCUUUAGUCCCAUAUUUUCAGAAACUAGGCAUUAAUCAUAGGCUUACUUGUCCUCAUACACAUCAUCAAAAUGGUAGUGUUGAGAGGAAGCAUCGCCAUAUUGUAGAAACUGGAUUGUCUCUUCUAGCUUGUGCUAACAUGCCUACUUCCUACUGGGACCAUGCUUUUCUUACUGCUACCUUCUUAAUCAAUAGACUACCUACUCCUGUUUUGGAUAACAUCAGUCCUUACCAUAAGCUUUUCAACACUCCUGCUGAUUAUUCUAUCCUUAGAGUGUUUGGAAGUGCAUGCUAUCCUCAUCUUAGGCCUUACAAUUCCUCUAAAUUGUCCUUUAGGUCUAAGGAGUGUGUGUUUCUUGGCUAUUCCUCCUCUCAUCAAGGUUAUAAGUGCCUAGCAGCUGAUGGUAGAAUUUACAUCUCUAAAGAUGUUAAAUUUAAUGAGUUCAAGUUUCCAUACACCACUUUAUUUUCUCCUCCUUGUCCUGAUUCCAAUAAUGCACAUAUUUCCUCUAUUAUUCCUGUUGUUACUUCUGUGCCUCAUGUGCAGCAACCAGUUCUUAGUCACCAAUCUUCCCAGUCUACUGGCAGCACAUCUCAAGUAUCUCCUGCACCACUUCAGUCUCCACAGCAGAGUCCAGCUUCUGCAGUCAACAGUUCUGCCACUCCAGCAGCUCCAGUUCCUGGUUCUGGUUCAGCAACCACUGCAUCUGCCCCUUCCAAUUCAGUCCCUGCCACUGAGUCUUCUCAGCCUCCACCAGUGGUUAAUGUGCAUCCCAUGCAAACCAGGGCAAAGUCUGGCAUUGUUAUGCCAAGGCUUUUUCCCACUUUGCUUCUAGCACAGGCAGAACCUACAACCACUAAGCAUGCUCUUAAAGACCCUAAGUGGUUGGCAGCUAUGAAGUCUGAAUAUGAAGCUCUCAUGACCAACAAUACUUGGACUUUGGUGCCUCUUCCCAAGGGAAGACAUCCUAUAGGGUGCAAGUGGGUGUUUAGAAUAAAGGAAAAUGCUGAUGGCUCAGUUAAUAGGUAUAAAGCCAGACUUGUGGCUAAGGGAUACCAUCAAGUGAAAGGUUUUGACUAUGCAGAAACUUUUUCUCCUGUAGUUAAACCUAUUACAAUUCGUUUGAUUCUUACCUUGGCUGUGUCUAAACAGUGGCAUAUUCACCAGCUUGAUGUGAAUAAUGCCUUUCUUCAUGGUGCCCUCCAAGAAGAAGUAUAUAUGCAGCAGCCUGCUGGUUUUCAAAGUUCAGACAAGACCCUAGUUUGCAAGCUGAACAAAGCUUUAUAUGGGCUCAAACAGGCUCCAAGAGCUUGGUUUGAUAGGUUGAAGACAGCUCUAAUCAAAUUUGGGUUCAGGGCAAGCUGUUGUGAUCCUUCCCUCUUUACUUUCCAUCAUAAGUCAAGUAUCAUCUAUAUUUUGGUCUAUGUAGAUGACAUCAUUAUCACAGGGAAUUUUCUGCCCUUUAUUCAAGAGAUUGUUCAAAAGCUUAAUUCUGAAUUUGCUUUAAAACAAUUGGGUCAGUUAGACUAUUUUCUUGGUGUUCAAGUCCAUCACUUGCAAGAUAGGUCUCUCCUACUUACUCAGACCAAAUACAUUGGUGAUCUUCUUGAAAGAGCAGACAUGGCUGAAGCUAAAGGCAUCUCUACACCUAUGGUCAGUGGUGCCAAACUAAGCAAGCAUGGAGCAGAUUAUUUUGCAGAUCCUACACUCUAUAGGUCCAUAGUUGGGGCCUUGCAAUAUGCCACUCUUACCAGACCUGAAAUAAGCUUUUCAGUCAACAAAGUGUGUCAAUUUCUCAGUCAGCCCUUGGAGGAACAUUGGAAGGCAGUUAAGAGGAUAUUGAGGUAUCUAAAGGGUACAAUUCAUCAUGGCUUGCAUAUCAAGCCUUGUUCUCUGCAUUCUCCAGUAGCUCUAGUGGCAUACUGUGAUGCUGAUUGGGGAUCUGAUGUUGAUGACAGGAGAUCCACCUCAGGGUCAUGUGUUUUCUUUGGUCCUAAUCUUGUCUCUUGGACCUCUAAGAAGCAAACUUUGGUAGCCAGGUCUAGUACUGAAGCAGAAUAUAGGAGUCUUGCUAAUACCUCAGCUGAGUUGCUGUGGAUUCAAUCAUUGUUACAAGAGCUGCAUGUUCCCUUCACAGUUCCCAGAAUUUUCUGCGAUAAUAUGGGAGCUGUUGCAUUAACUCAUAAUCCAGUAUUGCAUACCCGCACCAAACAUAUGGAACUUGACAUUUUCUUUGUUAGAGAGAAGGUGCUGAAUAAGUCUUUGUUUGUUCAUCAUGUUCCUUCCAUUGAUCAGCUUGCUGACCUCUUCACCAAAGCACUUUCUCCUACUCGUUUUGAAGACCUUAGAAGCAAACUUAAUGUGACUGAGAAACUAGUUUCUCACCCACCUUCAGUUUGAGGGGGUGUAUUAGGAUAUAUGUAGUCACAUGCUGACAUGGCAUUGCUGACAUGUCAAUCUGUAACAGAAUUAGUUAUUAGGUGUAACAGAAUCAGUUACACAGUAACUGAUUCUCUCUCUCUCUCUCUCUCUCUCUCUCUCUCUCUUAGUAACAGCUUGCUACGCAAGCUUCUCUGAUUCUAUAAAUAGCUAAAUGCUAUUCAUUGUAACUCAACUUUUCAGAAAUACAAUUCAGUUUACAAUUCAGUUAGAAUUUCAACAACCUUGUGUGUUUUCUUCCUCACCCACUGGUGUUUCGAUUGGAGAGGUGCCUUGCUUUUUGGAAGGUGGGUGUGUGCUGCGUGUGUGGGAUGGGGUAGCAGAAGCAUUUUGUUCUAGUGCAGGGUCAUACCAAGCUAUUUGAAAAGAACAAUUUAAAGGAGGUUUGUGUAAGCUGCCCACGCAUCUCAUGCUGCCCACCACCACUUCUGGGUCUCAAUCUCCUGGUUCUCAAUAUUUGAUAUGGAACUAUUUUGGUAACUGGAAAUCUAUUAUAAGUGGUCGUAAUAGUAAAAUCCAAUGAUUCUUAUAUUUUUUAAACUUGUUUGAAGAAGAUUCAUGUUAAUGUUAAUGAAGAAGAUAUGAAUUGGGGAUUUGGGUGAAUUGAGAUAAGCUUGGGGGGUGAAAUUAAUUUAGUUGAUUUAGUUAGGGUUAUAACAUAAUUAGCAAUAUGUUAAUUAAGUUAAAAAAUCUGACUUGUAAUAUUUUUUUAUUUUUUUUUAAUCCACGUCACCUCAUUAAACUCCGUAAGCAUGCCAUUUAAGCACUCGCUGGAGCUCCUCCGGCGAGGAUCCGCUCCAAAAACUUUUCAAAGAUGAUGACUAUUUACAAUAAUUUCUCAUUCCCCGAAUGAAUUUCAUCUUGCUGUAUAAUUGCUGCUCUGUCUCUCUAGUUUGUGUUCCUUGAUUUAGAUUGCAGAAAAAUCAUUCUAUUUCUUUGGCUUUGUAUGCUUAGGUAGGUAGUUAUCUGAAUGUCUAAUUCAAUGGAUGAGAUGUUGAUUCCGCCGAAUGCCAAGAGAGGAAGAAAUAGUGAGAGUGAGACUGAAAUUGAAGACAACAAAGACAGGCUCAGUGACUUGCCAGAUGGUGUUCUCCUUCACAUUUUGUCAUUUCUGAAAGCCAAAUAUGCAGUUCAAACAUGCAUAUUAUCCACAAGAUGGAAGGAUCUUUGGAAACGCCUUCCAGACCUUACUUUACUCUCCUCAGAUUUUUCAAGCUUAAUCUUUUUCACCAAAUUUGUGUCCACCAUUUUGACCCGUCGUGAUGGCUCAACUGCGCUGCACGGUCUAGAUUUUGAGCGUGUUGGUACCAUCCAGCCUCCCCUCAUCAAAAGAAUCGUAGACUACGCGGUUUCACGCAAUGUCCAACGAUUAGGAAUCUAUGUAGAAUGUGACAUGCGGCACCUGCUCCCUUGCAUUUUCACAUGCCAUACUUUAACAUCUCUUAAGCUCGUAGUUUACCCUAAAGGUUGCAGUAGUGGUAGCACUUUAUUGCCUGAAUCUCUGAAUUUGCCAGCACUAACCACCUUGCAUCUGGGGAAUUUCACCUUUUGCUCAAACGGCAACGACCACGCCGACCCAUUUUCUGAGUUUAACAGAUUGAAUAGUUUGAUCAAUGAUUAUUGUAAGCUAAAGGAUGCACGGACUCUGCAUAUCAAGCAUGACGCUCGUCAAUUUAACUCUGCGUCCUAGUGGGGACUACUCUAUUGAGCUAUCCACACCAUGUCUUUAUAGGUUCACUUGUACAGAUUUUCCUGAUAACUACCUCUGUGGGAGCGGUCUUUCUUCUGUUAAGGAAGUAAAUCUUUAUGCAGAUAGGUGCUUAUAUUUCCGUGAGCCUCCUCAGGUUCUACUUAGCUGGCUGCGAGGUCUUGUUAAUAUAAGAUCAUUGACGGUUUCUUCAAAUACUCUUCAGGUACCGUGGGAUGUUUUAAGGCUUUGUUUUUACUUUCUUACUAAAGAUGUUUUCUUACAUUCAAUUUUUUGUUAAAAUUCAAUUGUCUUGUAUUAUCUAGGCUAAAAAGCAUUUUUGGCCCCUGAUGUUUCAAGUUUGUGCAAGUUCUGCCCCUAUCUAUUUUUGUUGAUGUUUCUACCCCUCAUGUUUUCAAACAGUGCACCGUCUACCCCUCCGUCAGGGGUAGACGGUGCACUGUUUGAAAACAUGAGGGGUAAACAAUGCACUGUUUGAAAACAUGAGGGGUAGAAACAUCGACAAAAAUAGAGUAGGGGCAGAAUUUGCACAAAGUUGAAACAUCAGGGGCCAAAAGUGCUUUUUAGCCUAUUAUCUAAUUCUCCCUCACUGCUUAGGUUCUUUUAUUAGUUCCUGAUUUAUUGAAGAUUAAGCUCCCUUCAUUGGCUAACUUGAAGAGAUUGAAAAUAAAACGGGAACUCCUUCCAGAAUUGAUGAAAAGGAGAAUGAGAGAUGCGAUGUUAGAGAAAGCAGCUACUGAGACACGGAAAGAAGCUGCCAAGUUACGGAAAGAAGCUGCCAUAUUUUGGAAAACAAGACGGGAGCGAAAGACACCUUUACUUGAUGGAAUAGUGAACUUUUUGAUUCAAAACUCGCCGUCAGCAGAAGUUAAAAUCAUAGAUCGCUUAUGAUGAAAUUGACAAUCAACUUUUUGAAGAAGGUAAGAUGAUUGUAUACUGUCUCAGCUUGAGUUCACGCUGUUUAGCUAGGAUGGGGAAUGGAGUUAUGCAGCUGCUUUGUGUUAAAUGAAAGAACGUUAUUGGUGUUUUGUGUUAAAUCCUUGUCUUGACUCUUGAGGUUUAUGAAGGUUGAUGAGAACAAUGAAAGAACCAAUUCUUAGAUGUUGAAGAAAGAAGUAGAAUCUGCGUGCAUUUAAUUUGCUCAACAUGAAGUGCUAGAUGGCACAUAAAUACCUGGUUCAUGUUUGAUUUUAAGAAUGAUCAUGUGACUAGAUAAAAUUGAAGGUGAAGGAUAGGACAAUUUUUUUUUUUACUUAUUUAACCAUGCACUGCAUUCAACAACAAAAAAAUGUUCAACUUUUUCUUCCAUUUCUUGACAACUCUCUUCCUCAAGUCCACUUCUCAUGCUCAACCUUUAUCACCCUUCAUUUGUUUCCCUUUUUUUCCUAAAACUAUUUGUGUUAUGCAUCAACCACCAUCACAAUAGAUAGAAUCACAGGUUCUACUAUGACUCAGCUACUUGUGUUGUGUUGUUUUACAUGUGUAACAUGCAUUAAAUGCUCCCUGUUUGUAUAUAAGAGAAUUGAUACUCCAAUCUCCAUGAAAAACAUUUUCAUGGAAAUUAUUUAUUUUAGUAUCAUAUGAUUGAACUGCCAAACAUUUUAUUUCAACAUUUGUUAUUGUUGAAGAAAAACAAUAAAUACAACAAUGGAUCAAUUUUAUUUGAUUCUUUAUGUUAUUUUGAAGGAUAGGAUACAUAACUAUCUGGUAUUUGCUUUCCUUUAGUUGGCCUCUACAAAUGAGAGUCGUACAUUGUACUUUAAAACCAAAAAUUGAUUGCCCUUUAGGCAAGCAUAUACAGAUGAUAAAUAAAACUCAUUCAACAUCUAAUGUCAUUGUUUUAAUAAGAGAAAUGGAAGGAUCCAUCCUUGCUUCCAUUACUGAUAUGUCUCUUAUUCCAAAUAAAUCUUGAUGCUAUCAUAUGGAUGUGAGAACGGAACAGCAUGCCAGUUUUUAAUUUGAUCCUUCCUAUUAUUUGGGUCGUGAUCAAGUUCUGUAUCUGAGCUCUUUGAUGUAUCUUCCUUCAGACCUUUGUUAUUUACUUUCAGCAUUAAAAUUUCCUUUAAAGAAUUGGAUAGCUUAACCAAGUCCACAUGGUUGAUUAGUAUGCAAAGUUGUCCUCCCAUUUUGUUAACUUGAGCAUAGGUAUCAACUUCUGCCUCUAGCAUUAUCUGCAUCACUUUCCGAUCCCUUCUAAAGGUUCUCUUCACAAGCAUUAUCUUCACAUUGCAUGUUUCAAGGCUUUAUUUUUGAGAUGUUGCUUUCAUUCCAUGUUUUUGUCAAAAAUCAAUUUGACUUGCAUUAUAUCGAUCCUAACUCAUCCUCAUCCCUUAUUGCUUAGGUUCUCUUCUUAACUCCUCAUUUAUCGAAGCUUAAGGUUCCUAUAUUGGAUACCUUGUUGAAGUCAUUAAAAGUAUAUCAGAAACCACUAAUAUAUGGAUUUUUUUUAUGAUAAUUAGAGAAGUCAAGUUACAGAAAGUAUCUGCCUGGUCACGGAAAGCUGCUGCUCCCAAGUUACGAGAGCGAGUAAGGAAGAAUCAUCUUCAUCUAAGUCUGAUGGAGUAGUUGAGUUUUUGCUUCAAAGGUGCUCAGGAUGAUAUAUGCAUUCAACUUUUAUGGAUAGUUGCUUAUAAUUACUGUAGUUUUAAUCUUCCUUGUUCAUUUCUGUUUUCCUUCUUUUUAGUUGUAUCCUAUUAUCCUUAUGAGUCUUUCGGUAGAGAAAGGAAUUGGACAUGCUCACUUACUUGGUUGUAUCUGAUCUCACUUCUAGUCGACGCUCUAUAGUCUAUAGCAAGGAUGGGGGAAAUGCAGUUUCUUGUAUCAAAUGAAAGAAAGUUAUUGGUGGUUUGUGGAAAGAUCUUUAUUAAAUGGUUAGAAUUUUGGAUUAUAUAUAAUAAAAUACUAAACCACCUCUUUUAUCAAGGGUUAAAUAUAUUUUCAGUCUCUUAUAAUACCCUCUCCUCAAAAGGAAAUUGAUGCUUAACACUCAUUAAUAUUUUAACACUCGCAUCUAAAAUGGUCUCUUAUAGCUUUUCACCCUUGACAAAAUAUCUUUGUUUUUUAAAAGUUCAUCUGAUGUCAUAAUACUUAUUUGUCUAUUAUUUUUAUCAAAUAACAAUUUUCACGUGUAUUUUAUCACACAUAAUCAUUCCAAGACCACCCAUAUGCAAUUUCAUUAAUCAUACAAAUUCUAUUAACAUCAGGUUUGGUUCCUAUUUGUGUUCCAUCGAUUCUAUUUCAUUUCCUUUCUAGAGUGAAGAAUCAUAAUUGUGAGUUGGAGAAGGUAGAAGAGACUAGGCAGAGCUUGUGUUCGUGAGCUGGAAAAGAUUGAGAGCUUCGAUCACUUUGGCUGAGGAUAAGUCGAUAUGAUAUGAAGGUGUCUUCAGAGGGGAUGAAUAAGGCUCGGUUGUCAUUAUCUUCUACCCCGUUUGUUAAUUUGUUAUAUGAAUGCACAAAAGAGGAAAUAUUGUUCACAUCCAAAAGUGCAAUGAACCUAGAGAACUGAUUUUGGUGGUGCCCCAACCGGAAGGUUAAAAUCCUAAAUUUUAUUUUGAUACGUUAAUAUGAAUUUUCUAUUAGAUUGUAUACCUAUUUCCCUUCAUCCUGGUUUUGUUUUUGAAUUCUCAGGAAAAUGAGAGGUGUUGUAAUUAUUUUUUAUGGAAUGACGAACAUGUCUCUAAGCAAUAUGUGGAUGAAGAAGAUCACCAUGGUGAAAUGAUGGCAGAUCUCAAGAAGGAAAAUUUUCGUAGUGAUCUUCAUCCUCCUUCACAUCGUUGGUCUUCGCUCUCCCUUCCAGCGAUUGUCUUUGUCCUCUCUUUCUCUUUAUCGCGGUGGACUUUCUUCCUUCACUUUGUCAUGUUCUUCUACGAUAAGAGGGAACGAGAUAUGGUAAUUUUUAGAAGAAUGCUAGCAACACUCUGUUUCAAAUACUUUCUUGUUGAUUAGGUGAAAUUCUGUGAGAUCCCUAAAAAGAUGAGUCCAACUUCCAAUUUUAUGUGACACACAUGAAUUUCAAUCAUUCUAUGAAAGAGUGUAAAAAAAAUGUUGUUAACAAUUUGGUAGAAGGCUUAUUCUGACGAGCUUAUAGAUAUUGUGUCUUUAUGGAUAUUAGACCUUAUGCAGUUUAUCUUUUUAUAUUUUAUAGUUUUAUUAAUCUAGCUUUAGUUUUCAUACUCUUAUUAAAUGUCAAGCUUCUAGUAUAUUCUCUCUAUUAGGAUGAUGUCACUUGUUGGUCAUCUAGAGAAUUAAGCUUUAGCUAUAAAAUGUUUCUUUUGCUAUUGAAAUGGAUAACAAGAAAAUUGACAUAGUUUUAUUUUACUUUCUUUUCUUCAUUUUCUUUUAAUUUUCUCUCUUUGAUUGCUUGGUAGAGUUUAUCUCUACCACACUUCUCUUUUAACAAUCAAACGGUGUUGGGCCGGGCGGGUCGUUAUAAGUCCACUGACCCGCCCGGUAAGAUCAACAGGAAGGUGAUUAGGACAUGGACCCCAGCUUGAGGAUGUGGGCCCGAGUUGUUUUGUCUUGUUAUAUUGUACACAUGUAUUUAUCUUAUUCAACAUAGGGAUUUGGGCCCUGCAUGUAAGGCCCAAAUCCAUGAACAUUCUAGAUAAGGAUCAUUCCUACUAUAAAAAGGAUGUCCUCACCUUGUACUAGGGACCUUUUUCAUCAUUUAUGAGAUUAUUUCCUUAUUUACGUAUUACUUACUUCUUUUAGCUCUGCUAGGGUUUUUCAAGGGUACUUUAUUACCAUUGUCAUACCUUAGACAGGAACAUUGGCGCCGUCUGUGGCUCUAACUCAGUGAUUAUUCUUCCGCUGACGUGAGAGGCAUAUUUUUGGUUAUGGAGACACGUUCUUGUGGUGGGCGAGUUCCCCGUCGUCGUGGUGGAGGUCGUCUUACGGGAGUCAGGAGCCAGGCCCCUGUAGGACAACCUGAGUUGGAAGGAGAAGCUUCUUCAGAUGAAGCCUCGGUGGCGGUACGAUCUCAUGCUACCACGGUUCCAGAUGUCCCGGCACGGCCAGAUGCGGCUGUUGGAUCGGGACUGGAUCUUAAAGCUAAGCUUCCCACCCCGGAAGCGGAGGCUUUGGGAGAUCAGCAGGCCGACACACCUGUGCGAGCACCGGACAAUGUGGUAGGAGCCUCAUCUGCGGAGCUCAGGCAGGUGUUGGACACUAUCCAGGCGGUUCAACGUCAAAAUGAGCAUUUACAGGCUCAGGUGGAGUACCUUAAUCAAAUGCGUGACUUAAGGCGUGAGCAACGUGUGGACGCUGAGGAUGUGGUGGAUUUUCAGCCCUUUGCGCCCAUAGUCGCCGCAGUUGAGAUUCCAGAGCAUCUGCAAACUCUGACUUUGGACAUGUAUGAGGGGGAUACCGACCCAAUUGAUCAUUUGCGGUAUUUUAAUACUAAAAUGGUCAUUGGAGGGGCGACCGAUGCUGUGAAGUGCAGAUUGUUGCCUUCAACGUUUAAGGGCGUGGCCAUGACUUGGUUUAUUAAGCAACCUCCAUAUUCCAUCUCCAACUUCACUGAUUUGUCAACUAAGUUUCUAACACAAUUCUCGGCCAAUCAAGCACAAAAGGCGACCCCAGCUGAUCUGUUCAAUAUUCGACAGCAUUCGGGCGAGCGUAUCAAAACUUACAUGUCCCGAUUUAGUAGAGUGUCAGUGCAAUUAGAGGACGCCAGUCCGGAUGUGUGUGUGGCGGCCUUUAAAAAUGGACUCAGAUGCGGCUCAUUGAACAAAGAUUUAACUAGGCGGCCUGCCAAGGAUAUGAUGGAUUUGCAGGCACGGGUACAAGAGUUUAUCUUGGUUGAACAGGAUGAGCAAACUAAAAAAGAUAGGGACGACUGGCGAGCUCAACCAGAUGUCUCAUCUGAAAAGGGCCGCGCUCCUAAAGAUCAGCGACCCGCUCAGACACCGCGCCAGCCAAGGCCAGCGCCGUAUCCAGCAGGGCGACAGGGGCCACAGAGUAACACUUGGCAUCGGAACAGUCAACCCGCCAUAUCCCAAGGGGGACAUGCUCCCGCCCAGGGUCAUCAAACCAAAUUAAACACUCCUCUCAGCACAAUACUGCGAGUGGUAGGGCAAACUAAUGUGGUUCAGUACCCAAGGCCACCUAGGCGACCCCCUGCAAACGUAGACACAACAAAGUGGUGUGAAAUCCAUAAAGCCAUGGGACACAAUACAGAUAAUUGCUGGACUUUGCGCAAGGAAAUUGAACGACUGAUCAAGGCGGGGCAUUUGUCCAAUUUUAUCUCAGGAGACAAUACACAGCUUGAUGCAGUCAAGAACAAGGGCGGUGAUUCCGCAAAGGGAAAGGAGGUCGUUGAGGAGUUAGGGGUACCUGCCGGGUCUUGCUUGUCAAUCGCAGGGGGAUUUGGCGGCGGGCGCAUAUCUAGCAAGGGAAGGAAAAGAUUUGUGGAGGCAGUAAACUCGGCUCACCACGCCUAUGAGGGGGAAUGUUGGCUGAACCAUACUCCAAUUACUUUUUCACCAAAAGAUUAGGAUCAUGUGAUACCGCAUGACAACUAUCUCAUAGUGGUGACUCUGCGCGUAAACAACUAUGUUACCAAGAAAGUUUUUCUCGACCAAGGCAGUUCUGCUGACAUCAUAUAUGGCGAUGCAUUUGAAAGAUUGGGUUUAAAGGAGUCGGAUUUAAAACCAUAUAUGGGGUGUCUGGUUGGAUUCACCAGCGACCGGGCCAAGGUACGAGGUUACGUGGAGUUGGACACUACUUUUGGUGAGGGUGAAUACGUGAAGAAAUUUCAAGUAAAGUAUUGGUUCUCCCAUGUAAGGCGACGUAUAAUGUGCUUCUAGGGCGUGAUACUUUGAACAAAAUAUGUGCAAUAAUUUCAACCGCCCAUUUGACAGUAAAGUAUCCGGCUUGCAAUGGAAAGGUGGGAAUCUUAAGGGUGGAUCAAGAAGUCGCCCGAGCAUGUUAUGCACAAAGUCUGGAACUUUAUGGCAAGAAGGCAGCCAAGGAACACAUCGCGUCACGGAGAUUUUUCCACAUGAGAAUUUCAAUUUGGAUCCUCAGGAUGAUUCGGAAGAGUUGAGACCUCAGCCGGCGGAAGAAACCAAAUCUGUUCACUUAUCUGGGCGUGCUUUGAAAAUUGGAAGUACCUUAUCAAAGGAUCAAGAGGACCGGUUGGUUGAGUUACUCAAAAAUAAUUUGGAUUUAUUCGCAUGGACAAUUAAGGAUGUUCCAGGCAUUGAUCCCAACGUUAUAUCUCAUCAUUUGUCAAUUCAGCCAGGAGCAAAACCUGUUGUCCAAGCUCGUAGGCGGAUGGGCGAGGAAAAGGACAAGGCAGUACAAAUAGAAACUCAAAAUUUGCUCGACGGAAAGUUCAUUAGAGAAGUCCAAUAUCCAACAUGGUUGGCAAAUGUUGUUAUGGUGCGCAAGGCUAAUGGUAAAUGGAGAAUGUGUACAGAUUACACAAGUCUAAACAAAGUUUGUCCAAAGGAUUCUUAUCGGCUCUCAAAUGUGGACAAGUUGGUAGAUGGGGCGUCCGGUAAUGAACUGCUCAGUUUAAUGGAUGCAUAUUCCAGAUACAAUCAAAUAAUGAUGCAUCGCCCUGAUGAGGAGAAAACGGCGUUCAUGACAAGUCAGGCGAACUAUUGCUACAGGACGAUGCCCUUUGGUUUGAAGAAUGCGGGGGCGACCUAUCAGCGGUUGAUGGACAAGGUUUUUGUAAAUCAAGUAGGAAGAAACAUGGAGGUAUAUGUGGAUGACAUGAUUGUUAAGACUGUCAAAGGGGGCGCCCAUCAUGAAGACUUGGCGGAGGUAUUUGCACAGAUCCGGAAGUACAAUAUGCGAUUGAAUCCAGAAAAAUGCUCCUUUGGAAUUUUAGGUGGCAAGUUUCUAGGAUUCAUGGUCACAUCAAGGGGGAUCGAGGUUAAUCCCAACAAAUGCAAAGCUAUAGUGAACAUGAAGAGCCCAUCCAAUAUUCGUGAAGUUCAGAGAUUAACAGGACGGUUGGCGGCCUUAUCUCGCUUUUUGCCAAAAGCAGGUGACAGGGCAGCGCCAUUCUUUGCGUGUUUGAAAAAGAAUACAACUUUUCAGUGGACAGCGGCGUGUGAGGAGGCCUUCCAGCAGCUUAAGGAGUUAUUAGCGUCACCUCCUAUGCUAGCUAAGCCAACGCCCGGGAUUCCUUUAAUUCUCUACUUGGCGGUCACCGAGGCGGCGGUUAGCACGGUAUUGCUUCAAGAAGAAAACAGGCAGUUUAAAAUCAUAUACUUUGUUAGUCACACGCUGCAAGGGGAGGAAGCGCGUUACCAAAAAAUAGAAAAGGCGGCUCUGGCAAUACUAAAGACCGCCAGGCAUCUUCGGUCAUACUUUCAGAGUUUUCAGAUAAAAGUUAAAACAGAUAUUCCCUUGCGGCAAGUUUUGCAAAAGCCUUAUUUGUCAGGACGACUAGUGAGUUGGUCGGUCGAGCUGUCGGAAUAUGACAUUAGCUAUGAACCAAGAGGACAAGUCACGAUCCAGAGUCUGAUUGACUUUGUAGCGGAGUUAACACCCACAGAGGGUGAUAAAGAAAAUGCAGAAUGGGUACUUUCGGUGGAUGGCUCGUCCAAUGAAUCAGGAAGUGGUGCAGGCGUGUCGAUCGAAAGUCCGGACAAAAUGCUGAUUGAACAAUCGCUCAAGUUUGGAUUCAGGGCGAGCAACAAUCAGUCCGAGUAUGAAGCAUUAAUAGCCGGUUUAAGACUCGCCAUUGAAUUGGGAGUGCAAAAACUGUAUAUAAAGGACGACUCUCAAUUGGUAGUAAAGCAAGUGCGUGGUGAAUACCAAGUGAAGGAUCCACAAUUGUCCAAAUACCUUGAAAUUGUUCAAAGGCUUAUGCAGGCGAUUGGACACGUAAGGAUCGAGCACAUACCAAGAAGUCAAAACGAGCGUGCUGAUGCAUUGGCUAAACUAGCCAGCACUGGGCGAAUCGGAAACUACCAAACCGUAAUACAAGAGGUUUUGCCCCAUCCAAGUACAGACAUGGUAGAGUUCAAAGUGGCGAAGGCUAUAGGAAAUGGAGAACCAUCUUGGAUGGAUCCAAUCAUUGAAUUUUUAAGUCAGCAACCGCAGGAUGAAAGCAAAAACACAAAGGAAAGAAGGAGGGAGGCUAGUUUUUAUACUUUGGUGGGUGGACAGCUGUAUAGGCGGGGGAUUAUGUCUCCAAUGCUUAAAUGUGUGGAUACCGCCAAAAUCUCAUGAAAUAAUGGCGGAGGUUCAUGAGGGAGUAUGCUCAAGCCACAUUGGGGGGCGGUCUUUGGCCGUUAAAGUCCUUAGGGCGGGAUUCUAUUGGCCAACCGUCAAGAAAGAUUGCAUGGAGUAUGUGAAAAAAUGUUCAAAAUGUCAAGUUUUUGCCGAUAUACACAGGGCACCACCAGAGCAACUCACAACAAUGACCGCCCCAUGGCCCUUCGCCAUGUGGGGAACGGACAUUUUGGGACCCUUUCCAAAAGCAAAGGGUCAAUUGAAGUUUAUUGUGGUGGCAGUGGACUAUUUCACCAAGUGGAUAGAAGCUGAGGCACUCGGCACAAUUACUGCAGCCAAGGUACGGAAUUUCUUGUGGAGGCGUGUUGUGUGCCGUUUUGGAGUUCCAAUGGCACUGUUUAUGGAUAAUGGCACUCAAUUUACCAGCACAUUAACAAGGGACUUCUGUGCUGACCUUGGGAUUGACAUGCGAUUCACUUCAGUGGAACAUCCUCAAACGAAUGGUCAAGCUGAGGCGGCAAACAAGGUCAUAUUAAAUGGGUUGAAGAAGAAGCUUNNNNNNNNNNNNNNNNNNNNNNNNNNNNNNNNNNNNNNNNNNNNNNNNNNNNNNNNNNNNNNNNNNNNNNNNNNNNNNNNNNNNNNNNNNNNNNNNNNNNNNNNNNNNNNNNNNNNNNNNNNNNNNNNNNNNNNNNNNNNNNNNNNNNNNNNNNNNNNNNNNNNNNNNNNNNNNNNNNNNNNNNNNNNNNNNNNNNNNNNNNNNNNNNNNNNNNNNNNNNNNNNNNNNNNNNNNNNNNNNNNNNNNNNNNNNNNNNNNNNNNNNNNNNNNNNNNNNNNNNNNNNNNNNNNNNNNNNNNNNNNNNNNNNNNNNNNNNNNNNNNNNNNNNNNNNNNNNNNNNNNNNNNNNNNNNNNNNNNNNNNNNNNNNNNNNNNNNNNNNNNNNNNNNNNNNNNNNNNNNNNNNNNNNNNNNNNNNNNNNNNNNNNNNNNNNNNNNNNNNNNNNNNNNNNNNNNNNNNNNNNNNNNNNNNNNNNNNNNNNNNNNNNNNNNNNNNNNNNNNNNNNNNNNNNNNNNNNNNNNNNNNNNNNNNNNNNNNNNNNNNNNNNNNNNNNNNNNNNNNNNNNNNNNNNNNNNNNNNNNNNNNNNNNNNNNNNNNNNNNNNNNNNNNNNNNNNNNNNNNNNNNNNNNNNNNNNNNNNNNNNNNNNNNNNNNNNNNNNNNNNNNNNNNNNNNNNNNNNNNNNNNNNNNNNNNNNNNNNNNNNNNNNNNNNNNNNNNNNNNNNNNNNNNNNNNNNNNNNNNNNNNNNNNNNNNNNNNNNNNNNNNNNNNNNNNNNNNNNNNNNNNNNNNNNNNNNNNNNNNNNNNNNNNNNNNNNNNNNNNNNNNNNNNNNNNNNNNNNNNNNNNNNNNNNNNNNNNNNNNNNNNNNNNNNNNNNNNNNNNNNNNNNNNNNNNNNNNNNNNNNNNNNNNNNNNNNNNNNNNNNNNNNNNNNNNNNNNNNNNNNNNNNNNNNNNNNNNNNNNNNNNNNNNNNNNNNNNNNNNNNNNNNNNNNNNNNNNNNNNUUUGCUUGGGAGGAAGAGUUACCUGAUAAUCUUGGAGAAUCUGCAGGUGAGGGCUGCUCUCUGAAUUACUAGAUAAUGUUUUAGGUGUCGACGAAUUCGACUUGAUUUAUGUGUUAUGCACUUAAUUGCUAAAUGUCUGAAAUGAUUUCUGAGGCUUCGGCCGAGCUUGUUGAUUUCAUGAUGCCUUGAUAUUGUGUGCUAAAUGAUUCGCAUGUUAUGUGCUAAAUGAUUAAUCUAGGAUGUGUUGGAAUAUGCUGUUUAUGCUUAUUGGAUUGCGCUUAUUUAACUAUAUUAUUUCACAUAUAUCUGUGGUACUGAGGAGUGAGAAAUACGGGCAAGUCAUGCCGAUUUUAUUUUGAGAGUUUGAGAAAGUUUGACGGGACGAACGGAGUUCGGGCCUUGUUAUGGUUAUGAUGGAUCGAGACAUUCUCGGGGAGUUAAUUGGGAUUUUGGUGGAUGUUGAAGACUCAUAAGAUUUGCGAUAAGACUAAAAGGAUAUUAUUUUAUAAGGAAAAUUCAUAAGACAUUAAACAACCUCUAAACCUUUAAAUAAUGAUAACAAUCUCGAGUGCAAGUUGAGGAUUGAAUCUUAGUUGUGGAAAGCGAGAAGUGUCGUCGGAUCCAAGGGUUGAGAAAGAUUGUGAGUUCUGAGUAUGUUGAUACUCAUUCGCUCUGGGAGCAGUUUGUUUAGCCAUCCAAGGGAUGAGCCGAGAAGCUUCACUGAGGCGUGAGACCUUGUGAAUGCGUGAUACUCCACUGAGGCGUGAGACCUUGUGGAAAGCAUGGACCUUCACUGAGGCGUGAGACCUCGUGAACAUCAUGAAGCUUCACUGAGGCGUGAGACCUUGUGAAUGCGGGAUACUCCACUGAGGCGUGAGACCUUGUGGAAAGCAUGGAACUCCACUGAGGCGUGAGACCUUGUGAGAGCAUGAAACUUCACUGAAGCGUGAGACUUCGUGAGAGCAUUGAUGACCCGAAGAGUCAUCGUGAGUGGUUGCACUCAUUUUAUGAUUAUUGUAUUUUGUCGCAGAAUCGACUUUACCUUAGGGUAAGCUUUUAGAAACUUUAAUUUACCUAGAACACGUGGCGACGUGUCGAGUGAGAUCGGAGACGUUGGUUGACUAAUCAUCCUGCAUUCAUGCAACAUUAAUGGGGUAUUAACACAGGACGUACUCUGGACCUCGUCGGAUUCCAAAAUGGUCAUAAGACCCGGAUUUCCGUGAAAGAGCGUUUGUAAACGUCUCUUGUAGCAGACCGAAAUGGCAGACCUACGGGUUACGGCUGAUCUGACUACCUUUGUGUGGUGUAAGAGGCACGCGGGCCGAAAUGGUCCCACCGUGGCUGGUGCUAGGGCUGAUCCGUUGAUGUCCAUCCGUUCCGGAUUGCAUAUUGGUUGACUGGGUUAACCUGCAUAUCAUUUCAUGCAACAUGCAUACUGACAUAGUUGAUGAGUGUGUUUGAUACUUGUUAGUUCUACUUGAUGCAUGUUAACUGUGAUUUACAGUCGUUAUAUUCUUUGUGGAAAUAUGCAACCCUAGGAUGUUAUCCCUAGUUAUAAGCCUAAGUGGCUAUUAUCUUAUUUAUAUUUAUUGGUGCUAUUAUUUACAUAAUUCUUUGGAGUUGACCCUCGCGUCUUCUGUGUGUGCUUUGGCGAACAAACGCCCUUUGUCAGAUGUCUUUGGCGGGCUGAUUCAUGAUGGUUCAUCCUUCGGGAGGAACUAGGGUUGAGAUGCGGGAACUGGAGCGUAUCGCGGUAGCGAGAGGAGGACGGAUGGUGUACAUAGACUAGGUCGUUCUGGAUUCAGAUUCGGGCGACGAUCAUGCUAGCAUGUAGGUUUUAGUGCUGGUGUGAGCUCCUCGAGAUGGGAUUAGUGUAGGAGUAAAGUCUUAGCUCUGAACAUCAUUUGUUUUCUUUGGGGACAGGUAGUUUCCCACCUAUAGCUUUUGUGUGGUCUUUACGAGAAUCACAAAGAGUUGUUGGACUCUAGAGUCUUGCUUCAGCCGAUGGCCCACUUAUUCUCAGUUUGGAGAUGGGUGCGGCACUUGACCUUCUUGUGAUUGACCCUUGCCUUGGCGUACCUUUCUUUCGUCACUGAGUUACUCNNNNNNNNNNNNNNNNNNNNNNNNNNNNNNNNNNNNNNNNNNNNNNNNNNNNNNNNNNNNNNNNNNNNNNNNNNNNNNNNNNNNNNNNNNNNNNNNNNNNGUAGAGUAAGUCUUAGCUCUGACAUCAUUGUUUUCUUGGGACAGGGAGUUUCCCACCUAAGCCUUUUGGGUGGUUCUUACGAGAAUCACAGAGAGUUGGUUGGACUUAGGAGGUCUUGCUUCAGGCCGAUGGGCCAGCUUUAUUCUCAGUUUUGAGGGAUGGUGUUGCGGACACUUGACCUUUCUUGUGGAUUGACCUUUGCCUUCGGGCGUUACACUUUUCUUUCCGUCACUGGAGGUUUACUCGUGACGAGGUUACUACUACAGCGGGGGCUGUUUAUAUAUUGUAUAUUAGUUCUGAUUAAUGUUAUUGGUGGGUUUUAUUUAAUUCAGUCUUGUCUUAGUUAUUAUCGAAAAAAAAAAAUAUUCACGUUUUUCCGCAUUAAGUUUAUUUUGGUUACUAAAGUGACGCCACCGAAAUCGGGGUGUUACAGGGACCAUCCGUGUAAUUAAAUUAGGUGGGGGACUAAAAUCGUGGAAUUGGUAAACGUUAGGGACCAAAGUUGCAAUUAAGCCAAACAAAUAUUAGAUAGGGUUUCCUCCUUUUAAACCGGUUUGGCUCAUACGGUUUCCUCGUUACAUGGGUGAGAAUCGAUAGACCGCUUGUUAAAUGGUCUUAGAGGGUUGUUUUACCCAAAUGCAACUACCUAUGCCUUGUAAUGUAUAGUGGAAAAGCUUUUAAAUAUGAGGUGUUUUGGGAAGAAAAUUGUGAAUGAAGUCAAGUCGUUCAAGAAGAUUGGGAGCUAGAGCAGCUAGAAGAGGACUCAUGGGCCUCAGUUAUGAAAGGGACAAAGAAAUGUGCUAACUCUCUGCAAAAUUGGCAUAAAAGGAAGUUUACUAGUACAACUCUAAAGAUCUAGCAACUUAAGAGGAAGUUGACACAGGUCUAGAGUGUGGACCAUGGUGAUGUAAAUUGGGAGGAAGUGCACAACACUUGAGCUAGGAUAAGGGAGUUGUGGAGGAAAGAUCACGAGUUAAAUGAGCUUAGAGGAUAAGAAUGCCAAAAUCUUUCAUGCUUCUGUUGUUCAGAAGGGAGAUGAAUAGAAUUCACUGAUUGAAGGUAGAUAAUUAAUGGGGAUUGGAUGGAAGGGCAAAGUAGAAUCUACAAGGAGGCCCUGACUUAUUUCCAGAUUAUUUACACUUCAGAAAGAGUACACCACCUGCAGGAUUGUAUGAAUCAAGUCCUUACUGUUGUCCCUUCGGAGCUUAAAUAGAGUUUGGAGGAACUUACUUGCUUUUUCAAGUGUGUGUAACAGUCCUUUUGUUGACUGGUCAAAUAAUUUAUGAACGAUGUGUUCUUCAGACUAGACUUAUGUUCCUCAGACGAUAGGGAAUAUAGAUGUUGAGUUCCCAGGAAGUUCAAAACAUAAGAUCUUUAGAGAAGUUUGUGCAUUCCAUGAUAAGGUCAUUAAGAACGUUGCUAUUACUCAAAAUAUGAUAUUAGAAAUUUAUGAAUCUAACAUUAGAACUUUAUAGUCUUCCAUUUCAAGCCAUCCAUAAUUUGAAUCUUAAAAUCUAGACUAGUAAAGGAGAAGUCUGGUGGAAGCUUGCCCGUGAGAACCCAUGCCCUCUUCUUAGAAAAAGGAGCCUCAACCCGUGAAGUUUUACUGUCACCUAAAGAGAGGUUAUGGGAAUCACAACCUUGUUUCCCACCUUUCCUGCUAGAAAACUCCCCUAGGUCACCAUAUGAAUCCAUUCCCUCUUUCAAUUUGUCACUAUCAUCUACCUCAGCCUCGACCUUAGCCUGCAAACUCGCGUCCUUACCAAUUCCUCCCUCGAUAUCCGCCAUCAUUCUUGGCUUGUUCACCUCGUCUUCGAAGCUCCCCUCAACAACACCAGAGGGCAUAUCUUGUUGUUUUCCCCACCGUGCCCCACCUUGCCAAGGCAUGGUGUCAAGAAACCUAUCACCAUCCGCGCGCAGCCAAUGGCCAUAAGGGAACAACACUGAUCCAUUGACAACCUCGCAAUGACGCAUAAAGUUGUUGAGAAGGCCACAACGAUAGCAAAAUUUGAAGAGUUUUUUGUACUUGAAGAUCACUUUUAACGAUUCUCUAGUGGUAGCUGCCAUCAUCUAGCCCCGGCGCAAGGGAAGGUCCACCCUCACCCAUGCUCUAAUACGAAAGCAACUAUUGUAUCUUCUCUCCUCCAACUUAUCCCAACCUAGAAAGCCCGCAAAAUAAUCACCAAGGGACUUCGCAGUGGCCUUCAUGCAUCCUGUCCUCCUCAUCUGUGAAUCUGAAUCCAUAAGGGCACCUUUAUCAAUGCAACUAUAGCGGGAUCACCCCGAGCAUCAUAAGCAUUCAAAGCAAUCAUGUGUCUAUACACAUAUAAACAUAAAAGAGCUUGUGGCCUAGUGGCAUAUAAAGCUUUUUGGAACCACAAAGUCCAAGGUUCAAAUCAUAGUGGAGAUAAAAUGUAUUUUCAAAAAUAUUUGUUCUUUAACUGUUGAACGGCCGGUUUUGACCGGUUUUCCUAAUUCUUGACCGGUACACCGGUCCAAUGUCCGGUUCACCGGUCUAAUGUCCGGUUCGAUAAUUUCCCGGUUCAAUGACCUAACCUAACCGACCAACAGCACGGUGCCCGAUUGAACCGAUUUGACCGGCUGGUUCAGUCCGGUUUUCAGAACACUGCCAGCAAGAAUGAUCUCUGGAUCCUCCAUAUUUGGUUCCAUUGAAGGAAAAACAAGUGCAAGUUAUGCAGCAGAAAUAGUAACUAGGAUUACGUACACCACCACGCACGUGCAACUCAUACUACAAUUAGGAAACACUCCUAUCACAUGCAGGAAAGAGACAACCAAUUAGGACGAUCCCAAGAAGACACAGUGAAAACAUCACAUAGAAGUCAAGGUACUAUCGCCGCAAACCAAAACCCUAGGACGAUCUCAAGAAGGAAACACUCCUAUCACAUGCAGGAAAGAGACAACCAAUUAGGACGAUCCCAAGAAGACACGGGGAAAACAUCACACAGAAGUCAAGGUACUAUCGCCGCAAACCAAAACCCUAGGAAAGCGUAGGGAAACAUAUUAGUUUAAUGAUUAAUAAAGCGAAAAUUCUCUUCCUAACUCAUUCAAAUAUUGCAGCGAGGUUGUUAGAAGAUAAUGAGGUUUCAAUCAAAUACGAUGUCGAGAUGAAAUAGUUAUUGAUGAGAUUUAACUGGUUUUAGUUUCUUACUACAUCCCGUUUUUUAAAAGUGACUUAUAUUUUUGAAAUUUUUUUUGCAAAAAUGUAAUGGGAUAAAAAGAGUAAUAUAACUCCACUUUAUUAGUGUCUACCCUAUAAUUUUGACUAAGCCAUUUAUUGUCGGGAAUAAAAAUAGGUGGAUUAAUUAUUUAGUAGUGAUUGAUUUCGCAACCAAAAUGGCUAAUCAUGAUAGUUUCGUACAUGUGUGGGGUAGAUACAUAUAUAGUACCGUGAUACUGAUGCAUAGCCACUAUGUCACAUUUGAUUCGUGUUAAGAAAAAAAUACAAGCAUGCAAAAACAUGAUAUAAAUAGUAAUUGAGUCUUACUAAGUCACUUUUUAUUUUGUUAUUUGACAGCUUAAUAUAACAAUGUCUAGCAUAUAUUCGGGGCGUAUUCAGGAUUUUCUUGUUGGGGGCGAAAUAUAAGACUAAAAAAAUCUUCAUUGAAAGUUAUAUAAACUUUUUUUUUUUAGGUAGAAAGUUAUAUAAACUUUAAAUAGUAAAAAAAUAUUUAAAUACAACUCUUCGUUCUUUUAUAGUACCAACAAAUAAAUUUCUGAGAAGAUCAUCUUCAAUUUUGUUCCGAAGCCGAGUCUUAACAACUUUCAUUACAGAAAAAGAUCGCUCUGUAGAUGCUGUUAAAAAAUGGAGUGUCAAAACAAGACGUAUCAAUCUAUUAACAAGUGGAAACAUUGUUGCUUUUCGUGUUUCAACUAACUUCUGAUAAAACUCGAAUAAACUAGAAAUUUUUCCUAAAUUAGGAUCUCGGGAAACAUGUGAAUGAUAAUAUCUCAGUUGAAACGGCAAAUUCCUUCUUUCUAGCUUAAAAAAAUACCUAUAGUCGGUGACCAUUUCAAAAUUCUUGGGGGGGCGAUGACCCCUGUCUGCCCCUCUCAAGAUACGACCCUGCAUAUACUAUUAUUAUCUUUGAUAAAAUGCUCAAAGAAAUACUGGACGAAAAGGUAGCAUAAAUAAAGUCAUGAUGAUAUGAAUAAAUUAAAGCUAUAACCUAAAUAAUAUUAUUAUCUUUGAUCUGCCCACCCCAAUCUUAUCAUCACAAUUCACAAUAUAAGUAGCUACUUUUCGGGUUGCGACAAAAGGAUUGCAAUUUUGAUAACGCAGCUUCGCAAGUUGGAUGUAUUUUUCUAACAGAUAAAAUGGGUUCAACAUUGAAUUAUAGCCAUAAACCUAAUUUUUGCUCAGCAGGCAUGAUUUUAUAUAGUUUUCGUCUAUAACAUCACUACAUGGUGAUGGUAUAUAAAACACAAUCUUAGUGCCAUGUAUCUAUCCUUCAUUGCCCACGCAAGCAGGUUAAUUAGUUAAUCCUGUCGGUGUGCCUGAGAAGUGUUGCAUAAUUUAUAAUUGGGAUUUUUAAAAAAGACCUAUGGAUUGGGCGGGACAUAAAGACCUCCAUACCCGCCCAAAACAAGCAGUCAGCCGGACGAAGGAAGACAUGGCGGGAACUGGCGGAAUACCGAGGAUUCUCGCCCUUCCCCCUUUAAGUGGACCCGCAAGCCAGCUGGAAGAUUCUUUUGGAUUUGUCUUAUGUGCAUAGGGAUUUGGGCCCUGGUUGUCAGACCCAAAUGUAGGAAAAGUCCAUAUCAUGACCAUAUCCUCUAUAAAAGGGAAGGUCAUCACCUUGUACCAGGAACUUUUUUGACACUUAAUGAGAAUAUACCCUUUUAUUACAUCUUGACUAUUUUAGUGCUCUGCUAGGGUUUGCUUUUUGUACCUUUUCUUACUUAAGCUUACCUCAGAACGCAACAUUGGCGCCGUCUGUGGCUCUAACCUAGAUCUACAAGUGACGUAGAGGGUAAGAGUUACGAUUCAUGGAAACUCGUUCGUGCGGCGUGGGCCGCCGUGAUCAUCGCCGGAGAGGUGGUGGUCGUCAGGGCGGACGCGGCGGCAGUCGAGACAACGAUCGUGCAGUACUUCAAGAGCAAGAGCAGGAGGCUUCCUCGGAGGGUGUUCACUCGGUGGCGCAGUCACCAACGUCGCUGGUAAAACUAGCUCCGGGAAAGCCCUCAGAUCUGAUAGCCAAAUCAGAUGCAAGUGUCAGGCGACGAUCAGCGCCGCCUGAGUACGUAAAUUUAGAAGAUCUUAAGAACAGUGCUCCGAGGAAAGCGCAGGAAGUGAUAACGGGUAUCACGCCUGUGGCUUUGAAGCAAAUGCUGGAUACCUUGCAAAAGGUAUAUAAACCAAAACGAACAGUUACAAGCCCAGGUGGAAUAUUUAACACAGCGCCAAGAUUUUAAGCAGGGACAACGUCUUGAGGCUGAGGAUGUCGUUGAAUUUCAACCUUUUGUUCCAGCCAUCACAAAGGUAGACAUACCAAAACAUUUGCAAACAAUGGCAUUAGAUGCCUUUUCGGGCGAUUCUGAUCCCAUGGAACAUUUGAGGUACUUUAACACCAAAAUGGUUAUUGGUGGGGCGACGGACGAGGUGAAGUGCAGAUUGUUGCCUUCAACAUUCAAGGGAAUGGCGAUGCAGUGGUUCAUUAGACAACCGCCCUUCUCCAUUGACAAUUUUACGGAUUUGUCUACUAAAUUCUUAACUCAAUUCUCCGCCAACAAAACUACAAAAGCAACUAUGUUUGACCUCAUCAGCAUACAUCAACAGCUAGGAGAGAAGCUAAAGACCUACAUGGCGCGCUUCAGUAAGAUGGCUGUUCAACUGGAGGAGGAUAACCCGGAUGUAUGCCUGGCGUCUUUCAAAAAUGGCCUUAGGGCGGGAGAUUUGAAUCGAGAUUUAACAAGACGACCAGCGCAGGACAUGAUGGAUCUUCGUGCUCGCGUUCAGGAAUUCAUCUUAAUUGAACAAGACGAUCAGAAAAAGCAAGAAAGGGAGGAGGGACGGAAACACGCCCAGCCCGGCGGAGUUUCGCAGGACAAACCCAAGGCUGGAAAGGAAACAAGCAUAGCUCAAACUCCACGUGUACCAAGGCCUGACCCAUAUCAAAACUCCAAACCUGGAUUCCAGAAUACAUGGCAUAGAAAUCCCCAAGGUACCACUACAACCUCGGCUGGUCAACAUGUUGCCUCGCCAACUCCAGUUCCACUUACUAAACUGAAUGCGCCCCUAAGCACCAUAUUGAAAGCAGUUGGACAGACAAAUGUUGUGCAAUAUCCGUCGCCACCUCGGCGACCACCAAGUAAUGUGGAUACAAACAGAUGGUGUGAGUACCACAAAACGUUGGGUCACACCAUGGAUAAUUGUUGGAACUUGCGACGGGAGAUUGAUCGGCUAAUUAAGGCUGGUCACCUGGCAAAUUUUGUUAAAGAUGCAACACCACCGGAGGCCGCCAAGGUAACUCAAGGGGACAAAGGAAAAGGAAAGGAGAUAGUAGAGGAAUUGGGCGACCCUGUUGGGGAAUGCUCUGAAGGUAUGAAAAACGGUAGAAAGGGGGGGGGGGUUUGAAUAACGUUUUCAGAACAAAACUUCCACCUUAAAGAUUUUGACAAAUCUUUCGAGAACUUAAGUGCUAAAGAUAAGAGAUAGAAAAGCCCCCAGGAUUUUAUCCUAGUUCACUUGAUAAAUCACUCAAGCUACUCCAGUCCACCCGUUAAGGUGAUUUCUUCCUUCUUAGAAUGAAGGCAAUCCACUAAUCAGGUAAGAGUUACAACUGCACUUGAAACCUACAAGUGACUAACAAUUACACUGACUUAGCUCACACUAAGAUUCACUCUCUUAGUCUUCUCUAGGAUCCGAUCAACCUUGAUCUCCUAAAGGAACUAAACAAACUGUUUAUCAAAGAAUUGUUUACAAGAGAUUUGCUUCUAAAAAGCUAAUUGUAAACUCAAUGAAUUUCAGAUGAAAGAAAGCUUAGAACAUUUUGAAUAUGUCUUGCGCGUGUGUAUUUCUUUUUAUUUUUUUGGCCGCUUCUUUCAAUCUUCAGCCUCUAUAUAUACUCCAAGGAUUAGGGUUGAGCGUUGCAUGGGAAAUGCUACCGUUGGAGGGCAGUUCUGGAAAAUCCAGCUUCUGCUGUGGCUGAGAACGUUAGGUAGGUCGUCAGGAAGGUACACUUGCUUUUGUACUUGGAUAGCGACUUGACCUUUUAACCUAGGAGACUUAUGAUCAGGGGAAUACUUCAUAUUGGAACUUGUGAAGCCGGUCGAUCAGAGUCAGAGGGAAAGCACAGAUCCUCUGACCAUUGUAUCUUCUGAUUCUGAACUCAGAGNNNNNNNNNNNNNNNNNNNNNNNNNNNNNNNNNNNNNNNNNNNNNNNNNNNNNNNNNNNNNNNNNNNNNNNNNNNNNNNNNNNNNNNNNNNNNNNNNNNNUUGACCUGAUUACGAAUUCGUCAUCAUCAUCAACUUCAUAUACUCCUCUUCAUCUCUCCAAUCCACUCAGGAACCUCUCAUAAGAAAGCCUUACUAACGAAGGGGUAGACGGUGCACUGUUUAAAAACAUGAGGGGUAGAAACGUCGACAAAAAUAGAAUAGGGGCAGAAUUUGCACAAACUUGAAACAUCAGGGGCCAAAAAUACUUUUUAGCCUUCUAAAUUUUAUAAACAAAACGGGGAAAGCUUAACGGGGAAAGCUUAAUAAUAGGUGAAGGACGCCUCUCGUUUACUGAAUCUAAUUUUCCCCCUUUUAUUUUUUUUGGGUAAGCAAAAAUGUAUUAAUAGGAGUACUAGGGGUACUCCAACCCUCUAUUUACUAGAGUAAAGGCCCAAAGAGCCAAAGGGAAAAAACCAACAACCUAGGAUUUCAAUCAAAAGACUGAUACUGCAAUACUGCACAGCAAGUAAAAACAGAGGGAUAAAUACUCAGUGGAACAGAGCCCUUGUUACUAAUUUUCCCCCUUUUAUUACAUUUUAACAUCGUUGGUGUGAGAUCUUGACAAAGUAUUUCUUUAUUAGUGUAGUUGUAAGGUCAAUGUUGUUAUGUAGCAUUAUGUAAGCUGCAGUUUGGUUCUUGGAUGAGGAAAAAUCACCCAUAGAUGAUGGAGUAGUGGAUUUAUAAGCUGUCAAUUGCAAGUUUGCAACUCCCAUUCCGAUUUUAAUUUUAAAAAUCCGGUAGCAUUCCAAAUAAACUUCAUGGAGUAUAAAGAACAGUUUCACUCACAAAACUCAAGCCAUAAUCUUGCUAAUUCAGCCAUAAUCUGAUAAUCUCCACUCAUCUGGUUUCAAAGCUAAAUCAAAUAUUUACUUUCAAAGCUAAAUCAAAUAUUUACUCCGUGUUAUGACAGUAGAGUCUAGCUAACUAGCACCAACCAAGAAAAGUUUGGCCUCUAGAUGGUGAAAUUAUGUGCAAUUGACUAGUUAACACCAUUAGAAAAUCAAACUAAUGGUUGUUCACCUCAUCAUACUAGAAAUUAGAAAAUCAUGCUGUGGCAGCUUUCUCCCCAGAGGCUGGCCCACGCUUAGAUACUAAAUCUUUAACAGCUGCUUUCAUAGCAUCCUCAGCAAGCAUGCUGCAGUGAAGCUUGACCGGUGGGAGUGAUAGAUGCUUUGCAAUCUCACUGCAGGAAAUUAAUUAUGUGUUACUUCAAAUACUAACAACAGACAGAACAAAACAAUAUUAAUCAUGGAAGCAUAACCAAGGCUAGAAUCAAAAAGUAGAAUUGAACUCCUACAGAUGGCAUUUAUAGUGGUGUUCAAACCGGUUAUGUGUAUCCAAACCCUAAACCAAUCCAAACCAAACCAAAAAAGUCCAAAUUUUAAAACCAAAAUCCAAACCAGUACAUUUUAAUUUUUAUCCACAAUCAGGAUAACCACUUUUAUAAACAAUUUGGACAUCCAAAAUAUCCAUAUCCAGUAUUCAGUAUUACCACAUAAUUCAAAUCCUAAAUGUGAUUCAACCAAAAAAGAAACUAUGAUGAAUCCAAUUUCAAGACACCACAAUAGCAUGAAUAGAGAAUCUCAUCAGAUAGAAGCUUUUUCCUCUUUCACGCAGAACACUGUUUGUUCCAUGAUAAAAUCUUGAGCAAAAGGAAAAGAAAAAUAAAGUGGAAGGAUCACAAGCGGUAGAUCGAUGUCGCUAAGCCCCAAGUGGGAGAUGGUGCUGCUAAACUCCAACAAAAAUGUCUCCAAGUUUCUUCCCAGUGGAAGGACCUUAAGUCGGAGACUGAUGCUGCUAUGAAAAAUAGCAUGGAUCCAUUUCGGGCACGCACUAUCAGUGUCAGAGCUCCAAAAGCGUCUUCCUGAAAGCAAACGACCACGGAAUUUGCUUUGGACUUUGCUUUCAUUUUUUGUAUCUUAUUGUACAGAUUAUCAUAACAGAGCCUUGUGUCAGUUGUGUGUGCUGCUGAAUAAAUUUCUCCACAUAUUUGGCACUCAAUCUUUGAGCUUGAGGCAGAAUGAGGAUGAUUGGGUAGUGUAAUGACACUCAUCUUAGUUUUCUCCACAAAUUUGGCACUUGAUCUUAGUUUUUUUCUUUAUUCAGAACAACUUUAUAAUCAAAUAGAGCUUUUAGCUGAAAAGCUAUGAAAAUCAAGCCAAAAGAAUGUUUCGAAACUGAUCUUGAGUAAUUAUUGGUUUUAAAACUGGUGUUGAAUCAUAACCGGUUUUAAACCAGUUUACCAUAAACCAAACUGAUUCGAGUCUUGAGAGAUUAAAAAUGGUUCGGUUCAUAAAACAAAACCAUAUAUCUGGAUUUGAAUUGGAUAUGGUUUGGUUUUCAAGAAAACCAAACCAUGCACAGCCCUAGAUGGCAUACGGUCAACAAACCAAAAUGUUUCAAAACAAAGAUGCAAGUAACUUUUCAGCAGCCAAUAGAUUCAUCAACUGAUCAUCAUCGAAUGAGGAGCUGAGAAGAUAAUUAUGAAAGAACAAUGACAGAUCUUCUAGCAUUAAACAUUAAGCCAACCAAAAAAGUUAAUUUUGUACUUAGCCAGUCUUGUUGUCUUCUACAGACCAUAGCAGUCAAUCGCGGAUCGCCAGCCUGUCGCGGAUGACCCCCGAAAAUGAAAUCCCAUACAAGGGAAGGCCGCUAUUGGCCGUGAAUAGUGGGAUUUCGCGGCCGUGAUCCCGUCGUGGCAGGGGUCCUCUACUCGACGCGUAACUAUAAUACAGACUACAGCUAACAAAUUAAACAGAGACUCAAGUGUGAUUUUAAUUUGAUUUCAGGAUAACUUGAUUUCUACUUGCCACAAUUGUUUCUUAGAUGCAUACCACAUAUACAAAUAUGAUUUUACCAGGUUCAAAUUGAACGCAGAACUAAACGAACACCUAAUCAUCUUCUACAGAAACCAACUAAGACUUCAUUCAAUUUCAGGCAUUAAAAUUGAACCCUGCAAGGGAAAAAUAAGAAACAACUUGCUACUUUAACUCAGAAACUAUAUCCUUGGGAACAUGAUCCUCUCGAGUGUAAACUCUCUCAAGUUUCCUAAGUUGAAAUUUUGUGUCGAAGUUGAUAUCCCUCUUCAUAUGUAUUAAAUAUGUGGACUCUUAAGAUAUUAAGAACAUAAAUCAUAAAUAAUUUACAGUAACACACUUGCAGCAAAUGUUUUCAAGAGUUUAUAGGCAGGUGCUUACGUGUUUUUAAUGGUCAAAACUUCCUCCAUUUCCUUUCCAAUUACCCAUUCAGUAGCUGCAAAGAUAGAAACCACAAAUCAGAAACAUAAUCAAUGAGCCAAAUAUGCACUAUGCAUGCCAAAACAACCUAUGGUUUAUAAACCAAUGUAGUAUACCUGUUCAUGUAAAACCCCAAAACCAAAAAAUAGAGAAAUCCAAAAAAACAAAAAAGAACACAACAGAUUAAAAAAAAAACCUAGCUAUUACUUGUUACCCAAAACAACCAAUUUCAACACCACAUUCUUACCGACGGAGGAAGAAGCAAGGCGGAUACNNNNNNNNNNNNNNNNNNNNNNNNNNNNNNNNNNNNNNNNNNNNNNNNNNNNNNNNNNNNNNNNNNNNNNNNNNNNNNNNNNNNNNNNNNNNNNNNNNNNUAGAGAUGCUAUUUAAUAUAGCAAUGAUAUAGAACUAGAUGUUUUUCUAUUAUUAAUAAUCAGGUUUAAAAAGUAUAUUAUAAUCCAUAUUUAUAGUGAGUAUCUUUUCCCUAUUAAUGAAUAAUUAUUUUAUUUACGGUUAUUAUAAUAUAAAUAAUUAAGUGUACAAAGUUGGGCCCAGUGUGUUAUGGGGUUAUUUCAAUAUUUCUCACUAUUAAUAAAUUAGUUCUUUUCUAAUUAAAUUUAUGAGUACUAAAUAAUUUAACUUAGUAAUAAUAACUAGAAAUUGCUAAAUAAUAAAAUCAAUAUAUGACUAAAAUUAAUUUUGUUAUAUUUUUUUGUUACAUAAAAUUAAUAUUUUUAUAUUAAUUAAUUAAUAUUAUUCUAAAUUAUAUAAAAUAUAAAUAUUGAAAUAAUUGAAUUUAGGGUUAGGGUACUAAAAAGGAUAAAAACUUGUUAUCUUAUCCUGUCAUGAUAGUUGUAACUUAAUUCUCCCUCAUGAUAACUUUCACACAUGAUAGACAGGUUAUGAUAUGGGAUAGGAUUGCAUUAUCAUAUACUGCUGACGGAAAAAACAACAAAUUAAAGCAGACCCAUAAUAAUCACUAAUGUUACAGGAAAUUAUGAAAUUGAUGGACAGGUCAAACUAUGAUGAGUCUUUUAGAUUCUAAGUUUAAGUAGUGUGUUAGUAAUUGAGUUGAGUUGUAGUUUGCGAAAAAGUUAGUAGCUUGUUAAAUUGUUAGCAGGAAAUAUAAUUAGUUAUAUUCUUUUAGGCUGGAAUUAGUUUGUUAGAAGAUAGUUAAGUUUCUUACACUACUUCACAUUGUAUAUAAUAAUUUUAGUUCACUUGUAUUGGUAUGUGAAUAAUGAGAAUUUAUACUCUUUCAGUUUUCCCCUUCACGAUUCUCUUGUCAAUUGUCUCCUGUAAUUUGUUCUACCAUGCUUGAUGCGGUAUCAGAUCUCGAUAGCCAAGAUUUGCUUCUAGUUGUUGCGUUAAUGGUGAAGUAGAUAUGUGCUAGAGGAAAUGUUGUUGGGAUUAUCGGGCAGAUACCAGAAUGAUGAUCCUAGCCACAACUCCUCAAGUCCUUACUAUGUCCACCUGGUGAAAAUCCAUUGAUGGUUAUGGUUCCACCAGUUCUAGAUGGCAAGAGUUGCUACGAAUGGGCAAGAGCUAUGAAAAUGACAUUGACAUCAAAAAACAAGAUGAAGUUCUAUCAUGGCAAAAUUCAGAAGCCAAGAUUCAUUUGAUCUGUUGUUUCCUUUUUGGGAGCAUCGUAACACAUUGAUUUUAUCCGGGUUGCUACAAGAAAUUCCACCAGCAAUUGCAAGAAGUGUAGUCUAGAUGGAUAGUGCACAUUAGAUAGAUAUGGGAAGAUUUGAGAGAAAGGUUCUCUCAAGGUAACUUGGUAAGAAUCUUUGAACUACAAGUUUCAAAUCUGCUGCAAGGAACAAUGGAUGUCACUGAGUAUUUGACAAAUCUUCCUGUGGGAAGAGCUUGAGAAUUAUAGACCAUUUUGUGGAUGCACUUGUGUAGUGAAAUGAAAUUGCCAAGCCAUGAUUGACAUGAAGGCAUUUAGAUUGUAAAAUCAAGUUUCCAAAAGUUUUUUGGCAAGGACUCUCAAAGAACCAAAUAUUUUUGUGGUCGUAAGGGAAUCUACAAUAAUCCCUUUCCUUUUAAAAUCCCUUUUACUUGGCCAUUUAAAAACCAAAAAAGGGUAUUAUAAGUGUUAUGUGGAAUACCUUACCAACACAAGGGGAAAAAAAAAGGGGGCCGGAAAAAAAAAAAAANNNNNNNNNNNNNNNNNNNNNNNNNNNNNNNNNNNNNNNNNNNNNNNNNNNNNNNNNNNNNNNNNNNNNNNNNNNNNNNNNNNNNNNNNNNNNNNNNNNNAAGUGUGAAAUUUUUGGGGCCUAUCUUUCUUUCAUAAGGUGUGAAUAGGGGAUGAAUAUUUAUGAAGGGAGAGAUAACCCAAUGUUGUCAAGUGAACUUGAGAGGAUCCCUACUCCAUAUCGGUGCCUAUGGUUUAUAUACUAAUUAUUAUUUCUAUGACGACCCAAUUCCAAUAUUUGCAUAAGCCAUAACUACAAUACACCCAACUAUAGGUCAGAAGAAGAUAAUUAAGAUAAUAAGAUCAUAAAUCAUUUACACCAACACACUUGCAGCAAAUGUUUUCCAAGAGAUUUAAGGCAGGUUCUUACGUGUUUUUAAUGGACAGAACUUCCUCCAUUUGCUUUCCCUUCACCCAUUCAGUAGCUGCAAACAUAGAAACAUCCUCAAUGAGCCAAUUAUUCAUUAUGCAAACCCAAAAAAAAAAACUAUAGUUUACAUCUCCCUUUAUCUCCCCCACCAUCACAAACCUAUGAAUUUCACCCCAAAACCAAAAAACAGAGAAAGCAAAAAACAAAAAAGAACACAAUACCAUAAUCGCAAUCAUCAUGAUACUAACAAUUUGAAGAAAGCAAUAAACAAUUUCAACAUCACAAAAGAUUUAAAAAAACAACCUAGCUAUUAUUCGUUAACAAAAUAGAAUGAACAUAGUUACCGACGGAGGAAGAAGCGAUGGCGGAUCCACAACCGAAGGUCUUGAAGCAAGCAUCGACGAUCUUCCCUGUCUUCUCAUCAACCUUAAUCUGAAGCUUCAUGACAUCGCCACAAGCGGGUGCUCCGACCAGACCGGUGCCAACGUUGGGGUCGUUCUUGUCAAAGGAUCCAACAUUCCGGGGGUUGUCGUAGUGGUCCACCACCCUCUCGUGGUAGAGCCGCGGCAGAACCCUAAUCGCCGGGUGUGGCGCCUCCAACGACGACGACGCCGUUCCGAUGAUUCUCUUCGCGGAUGCUGCAAUUCUCAUCAUUUUGGCUUUUUUUUUGUGGUUGAUCAAAUGAAAUUGACAAGAGUGAAAGAGAUGAAGAAAAUAAAUAGGUUCUUCUUUGACCCUUUAAGGCGGUUUGGUUUGGCUUAGAUACGUGGCGAGAGGAGAUUCUUCUUAAUUGAUGGUUACCAAUUUAGCAUGGACCUCAAAUUAGUUUUCCCUUGUAUUUAAAAUAUCUAUUUUCCCAAGAAAAAUAAAUUCAUUAAAAUAUUUACUUCAGUACUUCCAAAUUCCAAUCAUAUCAUAUUUAUAACAACUAAAGCUUAUUCUUAUUUUUAUCUUAUCAUUUUAAUAAAAGUAUGUUAUAACUAUUUUUAUAUUUAUAAAAACACUAAACUCUAAUUAUUUUUAUUUUGAAAUAAUUAUAUUCAAGUGUUAGUAUAAGAUUAUAAAAAAAAUAUUUACUAAUGUAGAAAAUAUAAGCUUACUUUAUUAAAUUAAAAUAUAGAUUUGUUUUUUAUUCUAUUUAAAUUAAUAUAAAUAUAAAAACGAAAAGAAAUUAAAAUUUUAUUUUUUAGAUAAUAAAUAAUUUGAACGAAGUUAAAAUAUUUAAAGUGCUAUUUAUUUUAAUAUUUAAAUAUCAUAUAUGUAGUGAUGUGGAUAUAAAGUAAUGUUAAAUGGAAAAUGAAUUAUAUAAGUGUCCCCGUAGGAUAGGUUAAAUGGUAGGAGUUGGGGGACAUAUCAACUAACCUAUAAGCUUUCGGAUUUCAGCUAGCUUAUCAGCUAGGCAUGCCAAACAGAGCCUAGUUAAGUGCAUUAAUUUUUUUUCUCAAUAAAUAUUGAACUUCCAAAAUUAUUAUUAACUCAUUUUUUUUUAAAUUUCUAUGCAUCAUUAACAAUUAGGAGAGAGAAAAGCAAGAGAAAUCAAAUUUGAAUUAAAUGAGAGUAUUCUUGUAAACAAAUAAUUUAUGCAUCACAAACGUCAAGUUGGUUCUUAUAAAAAAAAACAUUAAAGUAAAUCCCUAAUUUGAUUCUUAUAAAUAUGACCAGAAUAAAUCCGACAAAUAAUUUAUAGCGUAAAUUACAACAUUAGAUAAUAUUUUUUAAAUGUGUGACUAUAUUUGUCCAUGAUAAGCGCAUAAUUGAUGCACUUUACGUGUGUCUCUCUAAGCUUCAUUCUAUACAUUUUUGUGCUUAAUUGUUAUGACUUAGUCAUGUUCCGACCAUUAGUGCAUAAUUGGAUUAUUCAUAGAAAAGUGCUUAAUUCUUUCACUUUUAGUUUCUGUGACUGUUUUGCUAGAACAGGUUCCAUCUGGAGUUACUAAUAUCCAAAUAGGGCGAAUAAUAUGUCGUUGAAAAGCUAACUCGAAGCCCUACAAUUUUCAUGUGCAGUACAAUUCGAGAACCAGCCUUGAACUUGGUCAGAAUUGCCUUGCAAAGUUGCUGUCGCUAAUCCUGCGAGUCUGGAACAGUCUGCACUAAAAUGAUCAUAUCUUGGGCUACAGAACUCCGAAUUAGGAUCCGAUUGAAGGCCCGCGAAGCUGACUUAAAUAGCUAAGAUUCUCAUGUUUACCGUGAUUGAUGAUUCAAACUCCUUGUGGGACCCGUGAAUUCCUGAGUGUUCAGCAGAUUACUCUUUUAUGUGGGCCCGAUUUUGUGAAGAUUUAGAAAAGAUUUAGAUAACAAGGAUUGUUACUUGAUGAACAAGUUUAUUUAUUAGUAUAAAUAAGUGAGGUUUAGUCUUUUGUUAGACCUCACCACCACCUCAUCUCACCAUAACCUCCUCCUCCUCCUUUCUCUCUCUUUUCUAUAAUGAGUUGCUAAACUCCAUAGUUAGUCUUAGGAUUUUUAAUAUUCUUGUGUUUCUAAACUUGAGGUUCUGUUUUUAAUGAAAAUUCCUUCUUUAUUAAUUCUCUUCAUCUCUAUUUCUGAUCUAGGGUUUGCUUAAUUCCGUAGUUUUAGAAAUAAGAGUUGAUGCAUGUUCGCUUAGUUCAUGUUAGUUCGUAAUUGUUUCUUAAUCGCUUAGUUUAGGAAACUGUGUAUUAAUUUUCGCUUAGUUAAUUAGUGCUCACGAAUUAGGGAAUUGAUAAGGAAGAAUUAAUUUUUUGUAACCAAUGAAGGUUUGUUGCACUUGAAUGUGAUAAUCCGAUGACUAACGCUUUCUCUCUUCUGUCUGAUCUAUUUAAUUAUUGCUUUGUUAUCUUCUAUCAAAUCAAUCAAAAAAACCCCUUUUUAUUUGCUUUUGUUUUACUCUAACAUCAAUUAAUAAUUUAUCAAGUCCUUGUGAGAUCGAUCCUGGUGUUCAAUACCUUGUACUGCAUUCAAAGCAAAAAUACUUUGACACGCACCCGCGACAAUGCGUUCGUCAGUCCAUUUGAAUGAAUUUUUAGUUGAAACUAUAUUUAUUUAAAUAUUUUUAUAAAUAAGUAUAAGUUGUAUAAUAUAUAUACACUAGUACUUUUGACCCGUGCGUUGCACGAGAGAAUUCUUUUUUAUUUUUUAUUGUGUUUUUUCAUGGUUUUUUAAAUUAUUUAUUCGUAUGAAAAGGAGAGAAUUUUUUUGUGAUAAUUAUGUUUUUUUAUUUGAAAUGUUAAUUUAUGUUUUUGAUUGUGUUUGUUAUUUUUCAUUGUCGUAGAUUUUUUUAUGAGUGUAUUUAUUUUUUUAUUUGUGCUAUUUGUAAUUGAUGCUUUGAAUUAAUUCUUUUUAUAUAACAAUUUUUUUUUUGAAAUUGUAUAACAAUUUUUUUUUUGUACUUGACAGAUAUAAGUAGUCUUUUUUUAGUAAAGUCUUAUUUAAUAUUAAGAUUGUCUUUAUAAGUUUCAUAACUCAUAUGAAAUAAAUAAUAAUAAGUUUUUCUAAAAUAAUUUUAAAGUUAAUAGUAUAAGUCCAUAGAAUGACAUUAAUGAAGGAAGAUCAAGAGGAAAGGUUAGGGGAGUUUUUUAUUGAAUCACCUUUAACGUUUAAGGUUUUUUAUUAAUAUUAAUUAUUAGUUGAUUAAUAUUUCAACAAAUCUAAACUAAUAAUAUGUGUCCUAUGAAAUUCCCUAUGUAUGUUCCUUUAGUGAUAUCAUAUUUUAUAUUAAUUUUAUUCUAUGGCAUUCCAUAACUCAAAUGAAUUCAAUAAUAAUAAAACCAUUUACAAUAAUUUUGAGGUUAAUAGUAUCUAUUUAUCUAUCUAUCUAUUUAUACUACUCCCUCCGGUCCUAUUUAUAAGCAGCAAAAAAAAAAUCACAUAGUUUAAGAAAUGUAGUUAAACUAGAUAAAAUGCAUUAAAUAUGUCUUGAAUCAAAAUAAACUUCCAAAAUUACCCUUUGUUAUUAGUGUUGGAAAGUGGGAAAGAGAGAGAAUAAUUAAUGAGACACAUUUUACAAGCUAGAAUUAAUAAGGGCAUCAUUGGAAAAAAAUAAUUAAUAUAGCUCAAACUUUCAUUUGGUUCUUAUAAAAAGGACCAAGAUUUUUCUUCUCUUUCAUGCUUAUAAAUAGGACCGGAGGGAGUACUAGUAUAUGACCCGUGCCUUGCACGGGGGAAUUGAAAAUUAUAUGUAAGUUUCAUUGCUUUUUUAAAAAAUUGUGUAGUUUAUUCUUUAAUUGUUUUGUAAAUUUUAUGUAUUUCGUCAAAGUUGUUUUAUUUUGUCUUGGUUGCAGUGAAUAAUCCUAAUAUGUUAAAUUAAAUCUAAAAAAAUAUUGAGUUUUUUGUCAAAAAAAAAGAGGUUAAUCUUGGCCAAGUUGAUGUUGUAAAGUAUGGUGAUUUAAGUACAAUUUGUUGGCAGUGUGAUUUUAAGGUCUUUUGUAAACUAUAGAAUAUGUGUUAUGCAGAUUAAAUAAAUCAAGGAAGAUGAAUUAUAAUAGACAUUCAUAUGAAAGACACCGCUGGCAGGAUUAAACAUAACUUUGGUUCAUUUUAACCCAGCAGUUAGCUGAUAUUCACUAAAGAUUUUUUGUAUGGUCGGGUGUUAUAAAGAUAAAAUAUAUGUGUUAUUAUAAAUAAAAGUUGAUUUAGUACGUAGAGCAAAAAAUGUAAAUGUGUCUUGAUUAACUAUCACUUUUGCCAACAACAACAUGUUCGAUAUCGCUAGUACUUGGAAAUGCGUUCAACUCGUCGAUAAAUUCAUCGAAUAACACACAUUAAUUUUUAUCCUUCGAAAACAAAGAAUAACUUAACUGCUUGUGUAGUAGUUUACACGUUUAUUUAUUUUAAAAUUGAAAUAAGAUAUUUUUUCGGCUUAUAAUUAACCAUGAGAUUCGAUAUCAAUUUCAUUGAUUUUCGUUACCACUACUCCGUUUCGCUCAUGAGUUUUUAUUGCCGAAGUUCGUAAUAGACUAAACCUUCAGUGAUAAUAUCUUCAAAACGAUUUGCAAUGUCAUUCCUAGCCUCUUGAAUUUUUUGACCCUAUAAAUCAAUUAGGUUCCAAUCAUUGCCUGAUCAUGAAGGAAAAUAAAAUAUAUUGAAUUAUUAAUAAUAGUAUCAGACUCUAUGGAUACAAAUAUUUGAAUCCAUCAACAACAAAUUAUAGGACAUAUGAUGGAGCCUUUCAUCGUCAUCUUCAGAAUACCAAACCUUAAGGACUCUCACAAUAAAAGAUCACUCAUGCGUUGACAGAUUGAUUUGGCCAAGAUGGCUGAAGCAAGAAUUCAUGAUGUAUGUGUUCAAAUGAGAUGAAAAGAACGUGUGAUGGUAAGGAAAAUGAGUAACGUUCUUAUAGUACAAAUUCUGUCAAUUUAUGUCCGCCUAUGUAGUUUUUUGUCAAACAAUAAGUUGCAGCAGAUACGAUGUUGAUGAUUUUUUUAAAUUUUAAUAAGCAAAGGUUUCGUUUUUUUUUUUAUUCAUUAAAAAAUCAAUUUACAAAAGGUUCAAAUCUAAUAAUCUUUUAAUUAAUGCAAGUCUAAAAAUUAGGCAACAAAUGGUAAAAAAAAUUGAGUAUAACUAAUUUCUAAUUGAUAAUUUAGCUCAAAAUUAACAAUUGGAUUAAUAAAUUUUAAAAACAACUACAAAUCUCAUAUAUUGUCAAACACUUCUUUGUAAACUACGUUUUUCAUUUUGUUUGUCACUUUUCCUUCUUUAUCCAGGACUAAUAAUUUGAGUCACUUUCUUUACCUUACCCUUGAGAGAGCUACAUAAAAUUGGCCAUGUGUGAAGAUUGGGCAUGUAAGGUAUAGGCCAACGUGGGACAAUGACUAACAUUGACUUUUAUUUAUAGUCAUUGCAAAGCACAUACUGAUCGGAAAUUGACAUCAUUUAUUUAUGUCCAUUCUUGGAAUGAAAAUUUCAUCCGUUGGUUUUUGUUAUUACACCGGCACGUAUAACAUUUGUUCCAAGAUCAAAUACAAUUAGUCGCGUCCCAUUGCAUAAACCGACUGCAUGAUCUAUAUUUCUUAAAAGCAUUAUCGGAGCAUCUACCUUCAAUGGUAUUUUGUGAUUCGGUAUUCUUGAGCCUGUAAUAUCAUUUAAGAACUCAGUAGUAAACCAUUUUUACUCUAGUUCGGUGUCCUCAUCAGAUUUGCAAGUGCUAUCGGAGCUUAAGUACUCCUUUGUAUCACCUGGAAGUAAUUCAAGGAUAAAAUCAUUAACCAUCUCAACAGAUUCCAAGGUAGGGCACAAUAUCAUCGUUCCUCAAAAAACUUGUCAUUCUUCAUGUUCUACACCAAAUUGGGAAAUGCAAAUCAACCUGAUCGAGAAUUGGAUUUAGCUAUCAUGUAUAAAAGAUCUGCUGAAUAUUCAAUAUUUGAUUCGCCAAACUCAUUUGAAUCGAAAUCAAUAUCACCGAUUUUGAGAAUCUAGUCAACAAAUUCUUUUAUUUAUAAAGCGCUGCCUUGGGAAACCAUUGGCGCCAAAUCACGGUUUCCGGUGGGCUUAAAACCUUACAGUGUUCCAAAGACAGAAAUAUAACUGCGCAAAAACGAGUCUUGCCUCCUUUUUGAAGGACGGAAAAUUGUUGAGUACCCCAGACUACACCUACCCCAAGGGCUGCUAUAUGCUUCACUCUNNNNNNNNNNNNNNNNNNNNNNNNNNNNNNNNNNNNNNNNNNNNNNNNNNNNNNNNNNNNNNNNNNNNNNNNNNNNNNNNNNNNNNNNNNNNNNNNNNNNUUGACAUCUAGUCAACAAAUUCUUUUAUUUAUAAUGCAUGCUUUGGUAAUCCUAUUGUGCCUAAUCUCAUGUUUCCGGUGUGCUUUAAAACCUUACAAUGUUUCCAAAGAUCAGAAGAAUUAACUGCAGCAAAUACGAUGUCUUGCCUUCCUUCUUUUGGAAUGAUCGGAAGAAUUUGUCUGAAGUAACCACCAAGAACUACAACCUUACCACCAAAUGGCUUGUCUAUAUUGCUUUCAUCUUCUUGUCUCAUGAUAUCUCACAAAGUCCUAUCUAGUGCCUCGAAACAAUUCUUAUUUAACAUGAGAGCUUCAUCCCAAAUGAUCAAUUUGGCACGCAUAAGUAAAUUUUCCGUUAAACUACCUUGUUUGAUGUAGCAAGUAAUUAUUUCAUCGGUUUGCAAAGGAAUGGAAAACUUGAAAUGUGUUGUUCUUCCGCCGAGCAACAACAAUGAAGCAAUACCACUUGAAACUACAUUUAGAAUAAUCAUACCCAUUGAACGGAUGGUUGCAGAUAAAAUAUUCCAGACGAAAGUUUUUCCAGUAUAAAAAGAAAAAUCUCAUUAUCAAACAACACUAACUGCAUUAUGUUGUCAUAUGCACCCUUCUAUUCAGCUGUCAUCAUAUUUAUAAAGGAUGCAUAUUUAGUUGUCAUUUCUUCUUUGUUGUAGUUAAGCUCAUCUACUAUGAAAUUGUUCUGAAACUGUUCCACAACAUCAAAUAUCAGAUAUCCUUUGCCAUUUCGUUGGAGCAUUUUUUCUAUCUCAACCAAACACAAAUUUUGUAGAUUUUGAAAAAAUGUCAAAGUAAAAUUGUUAAAUAGAUAACUGAAGUUAAAAAAUAUAAUAAAAAACCCACAAAAUUAAUAUUUUGAACAACCUGGUAUUUGAAGUAUUCUCCUUCUUUCAUGCAAAAUUCCAUCACCAAGUAACCCCCAUGUAGCAUUCCAAACGAAAUUAGGUCUAAUCAUUGUGCUUAUUUUAAAAUGUUACUUUUCUAUUAGUUUUAAAAUUAAAGUAUUUUCAUAUAAAAUGUUCCACCCUGUGGAAGCUUUUUAUCAUAUAAUUUCUACAAAAUCAAAAGUAGACUAUAUAACUAUGUAGUACAUUUAAAUAUAAUUUUAAAAUUGAGAAAUUUAAUUAAAAUUUGUUUUUCUAUUAAUUCUUAAAUGAGUUCUUUGGUGGAGAAGAGAGUGAUGAUGCCUAAAAAACAAAACAAAAAAGCUCCUCUCUACCUAUUCAUGCUCCCCCUUUUACACAUUAAAAAGAAGAGAAUUAUUUGAGGGAGGAUGGGUACACCACACUUCUUCAACCCUCUCUAAACUCCAUUUAAUCACCUUCUUCAACCCACUAAAACCAUUUUUCACAUCACCAUCCAUCAGCACCAUUAUCCAGCUAUAUCCUUCUAUUUCAAAAUAAUUAUGAAUCAAAUAGGAGGGUGGAUGGUAAGGAGGAACACAUUUCAAAAAUCAAAGACACAUCCUUAUAUACUAUCAAUGUCGAGUUACAAACUGCCUUCAAUUUUCACCAUAUGGGUCAUUAUAUAGUUUCAGGGAGAAGUAGAGAAGCAUACAAAGGUAUUAAUUCAAUAAGGAAUCAAACCAAAAUAAUUAUAAUCAAUUUAUGCAUUAUACCUUAUUAAAAAUAAUUUGAAAUUUAAAAAAAUUAAAAUUAAUUUUUCAUCCAACAAUUUUGUAUUAAAUCUAAAGGAGAAAAUAUAAUUUACAAAAAUAUUAAAAUUUAAAAAUAAUGAUGCUUUAUUUUAAGUAAAAUAAAUACAUAUAAAAAACUAAUUUUGAAAUUAUCAUCUAAUCUACAUAUUAAAAAAGACAUAUUUUCCUUUAGAAAUAGUAAUUACCAUUUAAUGCAUAAAAUAGUCAAACAGUAUAAUUAAAAAGGCUUAAAUGCACCUUUGGACCCUCAUGUUUUAACUUUUUGCGAUUGUCAACCUUUAUCGUUUUUUUCUACGAAUGGGAACCAUAUUCUUUCAAAACGCUGCACCGUUUACCCUUCCGUCCAAAUCCGUCAAAAACUUGACGGAACACGCUGAUAUGGCCUUCCACGUGGAUAAAAGGUGGAUUUUUAAAAAAAUGGCUUAAAUGCACUUUUGGACCUUUAAGUUUACAUUUUUUGCGAUUAUUGACCCUGAUCUUAUUUUUAGUUUGAAUGGAGACCCUAAUCUUUCAAAACGUUGCACCGUUUACCUUUCCGUCGGAAGGCCAGGUAAGUGGAACAAUGUAACGACCUAAAUUUUUCCCUCAACUAGAAAUAAUAGGAGUAUUUUAAUUAGUAUUAUUAUUAGUAUUAUUAUUAUUAAUAUUAUUAUUAUAAAUAAUUAAAAUAAAUAAUCAAGUCCUAGAAGUUCUAGAGAAUUCAAAGGAUAAAGAUGAGAAUAAAAAAUUAUUUCAGGAAGGACUAAACUGCAAACUGACUUAACUCUGAAGGACCAAAGUUAAUAACCGACCUAUUCUAUAGGGACCUAACUGUGACAUCAGAAAUAGUUUUAAUUCAAAUUCAGGUCCCUGGUUUUGUCUAUAAAUACCACCACGAAGUUCAAGUUCAAACCAGCUCAAAUUAGAGCAACCCAAGCCUUGAAACUUGGCAUAAACCUUCUCCUCCACCCCCUGAAGCCUCAGCCACCACCCUUAGCCACCAACAACCGCCACAAAGACGGUGGUGAACGGCCAAAAUAGUAGCUCACGGCCAAACUUUGGAAAUUGCUUUCUAGACCGAUUCAUCCCUCCAUUUUUGUUCCAUUAGCUUCCUUGAGUCCAUUAGAGUGUGAACCAACCCAGAACCGAGCUCAAUUGUCCCUGCAAUAGCCCAACCGAGCUCAUAAAGCUCUGAAACUUUGAGCUCUUCGUUCUCACUCAUUUCUCCAUCAAUUUGUCGAUUCAAGUGUCUAUCCUGCUUAUAAUUUCAUAAGGAAGCUAUCUGUGCAAGAAUUUUGAAGCUUGGAGGUCUAUUUUUCAUUCUGCCAUUGUUGACCGGAGAAAGCUUCAAAGAGCUUGUCGUUUUGGCCAAUUUAGAGACCUUCUGAGCUACCCACUUGUACCAUUGAGUUCCUGGGAGUGAGAGGAUCCUUUUCCAACCAUUUUCCACCCUCAACUCUAACUUUUCACCGGAUCUCCGCCGCCAACCGCCACCUUCUCCGGCGGGCUCACCGGAAAAGUUCCCAGAACUUGGAAAAAAUCAUAUUUCCUGAAUCCUUGCAUCAUAAGGAGUCCGUAUACGCAAUCGGUUUUGAAUUUCACUGAGAUUUGAUAUAGUUUCGGAAAAGGAGACGGUACGUAACUUUACGGUUUUAUAACUCACUAAUUGUGACGACUUAAUACGAAAUAAGACUUGAUUAUGAUUCAUGGGAUUAAAAUGAACAUUUAGAAAGAAACGGAAUGAAUUUUGGAUAUCUAGAAUGGAAGUUAUUAAUUUCUCAAGUUUAAGCUAAAUAAUAAUUAAAUAAUUAAUUCCUGGAUAUUAUGGUCGGCUCUGCCGCCUUAUCCACCAAUGGUCGGCUCUGCCGCCUAUCGAAAAUAUAUGGUCGGCUAUGCCGCCUUAUAAGUUAUAUAAUGAUGGUCGGCUAAGCCGCCUGAUUUUAAAGCUAUAGAACGAUGGACGACCUUGCCGCCUAAUUAUUUAAAAAAAAACCGGAUAUUAAAGAAUAACAUGGAAUUUUAUAACCUUAAGGUGAGAAGUGACUAAAGUGAUGUACGACAUUAUUAUUGCAGAUAAUCGAUCGAAGGAUUUUUCGAAGAAAGGUAAGGGGGGGAGAAUGCUCAACUCAUGAGGGAGUAUAGUGUGAAUUAAUAGGUGUUGGACCUCCCUUGGGUCCCUCUUUGUUUUUAAAAAUGAUUAUUUAAAACGGGAUUUAUUCCUGAGAAUUGACUCGAAGAAGGAGCCUCCGAAUCUUUUCUUAAACAUAUUUUUCGAGGCAUCCCGAUUUUUUAAAGAAAAUAUUAUUUGAUCAAUUCUCAGAAUAAUUCCAAGAGAUUUUUAAUGGCUUGCAGAUACUCUAUGAGCAGGAAAGGUCAGUGGCCCCAACUGGACAGUCAAGGCCAGGCUGUGCCAUUGGGUAACGCUGUGAGAUCUAGGGGAUACCGUAAGGGUUGCGGUCCUUGGGGUGUGGUUAGGUGGGACCUAUCAACAGGAGUAGUUGAGGUUUGUCCCAUCCGGAACCUAAUCACACUGCAGGCUCCCAUAGGAUCAUCUUGCCGAGCGGCUUCUCGGUGACUUUCCUGGAGAAUGUUGGGCCCACAUCCUCAUCAUAGUGUGGUGGAUUUUUAAUGAUUGGAUUUGGUUGUGAUCAACAUCCUCGUCUAGAGUGUGUUGAAUCUUGGAUGAUUUUGUUGGAUGCG